rnacentral:lncRNA from 1 species
AGGAUUUCAAGGAGUUUGCCGAUGCUGUCGAAAUGAUCAAUGACAAUGGGGUUGUGGUGGCCGUAGCAUCGCCUGACGACGUCGAGGCAGCAAACAAAGAGAAGUCGUUAUUUUCAGACAUCAAAAAGUGCCUGUGAGGCCUCUCCAUUCCCACCCAGGCAGGGUUCAGUCGGGGGCCUGCGCCGAGCAGAGGUUCUUCAGCGUUUUGCUUCACUGAUGAAGAAUGGUCUGGCGCUGUAACAUGAGUUUGCGUGGCGAGAGCACUGAUCACCUUGUCUGUAGCCCGGUUACGGUUGUUUAUUUUUCGCGCCCAUUUUUAGGGGAAAUAAUUAGUUGAGGGUGUUGAGCGAAGCACAAUAGUUAAACAGAGUUCCAUUGCUGCCUUUCCCCCUCUGCAAUCAGUGCUCAAACAAGCCGGUUGUACACCAAGUUGCUGAUAGGAGAUUAAGAGCUGAUGAGAACCUGCUCAAAAUUUAGCUGAAUAUUCUGUAACUUGUUAUACCAAAGAUAUAAAUGUUUUCGCAGCUGGGUUGAUCAAGGUCCUUUCUGAACAUAAAUCCCUGGAAAUGCUAGGGAUCACACUACUUUCUCUAGAAAUGCUAGGGAUCACACUACUCUCUGGGAACCGCUAGGGAACACUACUGAUCCUUAUCAGACCUUCUCGACCGUAAGAUUAGAAGCAUCACAGUUGUUGGAUGAGUACGGUGGGUCCUAUGCACCUCUCGUGGGCCUUUUCUAAAACUGAGCGCUAAUUAAGUGGGAUUGCUAUUAACAACCGACCGAUUUAACAUCUCCUGAUGCUCAAAAAAAAAAGAUUUAACAUCUCCUGAUUUCUGCAAGAAUUGAGGGCUCCUUUGAUUCAAAGGAAUUCUUUAGGAUUUUUGAAGGAUUGAAAUUCUUAAGAAUUUUUCCUAUGUCGGUCCUUUGAUUUAUAGGAUUGGAUUCCAUAGAAAUUUAUCUUAUGAAAUCUUUUGUACUACAUUUCAUAGGAAAUCUAACAUCAACUCCAACCUUUUUUUAUAAUUUCUUUAUUUUUCAUGUGGCAUCAAAACUCUUUGCUAAUCCUAUAGGAUUCAAGUUGACAUGCCACUGUAGUCCUAUACUUUUUCUAUUCCUACAUUUUCAAAAUCCUGUGAAUCAAAGAGGCCCUGAAUUGUAAAAUUCCUGCCUCCGAAGACAGCCAUCAAGGCAAUAAUAAACUUACAAAAGCGUCUGAUCAUUUAUCUUAUCUUCACUAGUAUAACUCUCCAGGCAGCUAUGGUUUACUAUAGCGCUAAUAAUUACUUCUCCCAGUUAGUGACAACAAUGAUCGAAUUUGAGGAAACAAGUUACAUGUGUGACAUACAACAGGGAACGAAUUCGAGGAGAAACCAAUCCUGCUGAGACGAACAGGCGAGUAGUACAUAUCGUCUCAUUUCCUGCCGCUCUGCUGCUGAGCCUGGUGCUGCUGCCUGUGCAGCUGCGCGGACGCGAUGGCCAGCAUCGACCUCACCUUGGCGACCGCCGCGGCGUUCUCCGGCGGGCAGCUGGCCAGCGCCGCCCGCAGCGACCGCACGGCCGCGUCCGGCCGCCCGGCCCCGAGCGCCGCGCACGCCGCGCGGUACGCCUCGUCCGCGACCCGCGCGUCGUGGCAGGCGGCGGCAGGGGGAGGAGGCGCCCGCGCCGCGGGCGACGCCUCCUCCUCCUUCUCUCCCUUGCCGCGCGGAGGCCGCGAGGAGGUGGAGGCGGGGGCGGGGUCGAGGAGGGCGCAGGCGCGGGCGUACUCCGUGGAGGCGAUGGCGGCGUCGAUCUGGGACAUGAGGGACUCGGGAUUCGAAGGGAAGCUCCGGAUCGCGUCGAACGGGCUCCAGCCCCGCCGCCCGCCGCCGGCGCUGCCCGACAUGUCUGCAGCCGCGGUGCGGAUUGGAAUUGAUGGGUAGUGGUAGUGGCGACUAGCGAGGAGGAAGAGGGAUGAGGGGGGAGGUAGGUAGCUCGAGUCUAAAAAAUAGUACUGCGUUGUGGUGCCUGAUGUGUGGCCAAGCCUAAAAAAUACGUACAAAACAUUCUAAUAAACAUAAUAAAAUUAUAUUCCCUCCGUUCCAAAAUUCUUGUCAUUUGUCUAUAUACGGAUGUAUCUAAUACUAAAAUAUACUCUCUUUUUUCUGAGAAGAAGAUUAUUUGAUGUCCAUGAACCAACCAUUGACACUACCGCCACCAGCGCGGGCCGCUGACGUGUUAUUGUUGUCCUUCCCCUAUCAGAGUCGACCGUGGCAGAUCUAGAUUAGGACAUUAGGCAUGAGGCCCAAAUCCUUCACAUACUGUAGCAGGAUCCGUCCAUGAGAGUUGGCCUGCCAUUAUUGAUGACAACCGGGAAAUCACAGUGCACGUGUGCUAACAACCAUUGCAGCCGAAGUUGUCACCGUUGAACCCUUGAAUCAAUCUAAAGCGUAUAACAUCAGAUCUUGUCAUCGCGCACACAUGACAAAAACCCUAGCCUUAUUGCUCCAAGGAGGCAGCAAUAAUCUACGACGAAGCUCCAUUGACUCCGUCCCGAAAGACGAACUCAAGAAGGAUCGAAGCCCAUGAGACCAACUCAAAAGUGAAUCGUUGACAUUCACCCGAGCGCUCUUCCUGCAAGGACUAAAAUCUCCUAAUCUAGACUACUAGCCAAAACAAUAGCAUCAGUACUCUCCUUCCGACCACCACGGCCACAGAAUGACAAAUAAAGGAGAGGCGAAUCCUAGGCUCGUUGAUGAAGCUUAGAGGGGACAAGGUCUUUGCCCUAGCCACCACUGUCGUGACGGGAAAGGAAAACGAGUUUCGAACUAUUGUAUGUCUAAAAAAUAAUAAUCUGACUAGGCUGAGCUGGGCCACUUUUAUUUAAUGAAUAUGUCAAAAAUGUCAAGAAAAAGAAAAAGAAAUAAAAUGAAUGUAGUCUCAUGUAAAUGAAAAUCAUCCGUUUGUUUAAAUCUCAUUUGAAAUGUAUGAGAACGGGUUAGACGCGGACAAAUACAGUGUUGAAGAUAAGCUAAGUUGCUCAAAGAAAAUAGCUACAUUAGUGUAAAAAAAAUGCCUUACAGAUUGACACUUGUGCCCAUCUCUCCCGUGCCGCUCCUACGAGCGGCCCGGACGGAUCCCUAAUCCCCCCCGCCGCCACCCCCCACCUCCCCUCCCCUCCCUCGCCGCUGCCAGCGGACGCCGUCGGGCAAAGCCCGUGCGCGCUUCGGCGGCGGCGGGGUCCCCCCUUCCCUCGAGGCUCUCCGGCGGCGCGGGACGCCUUCCUCUUGGGGUCAGGCAAAUCGGCGGCGGCGCGCGUCUGGCCUGUGUCAGCGUGGUCCGACAGUGCUGGCUGGAGCGGGGCGGUGCUCCGGGAUGGCGCGGCCUGGCGUGGUCCGGCCGGAUCUGGCGGCCACGGACGGCGACGCUCGGAGGUUGGAGCUGGGCGCUGCUCGGGGGAUGCGGCGCGCGGCGGCGGGCAGCGGUCGGUCCUACGGGAGCUGGCGGUGCAGGGACCGGUGGUGCCNNNNNNNNNNNNNNNNNNNNNNNNNNNNNNNNNNNNNNNNNNNNNNNNNNNNNNNNNNNNNNNNNNNNNNNNNNNNNNNNNNNNNNNNNNNNNNNNNNNNNNNNNNNNNNNNNNNNNNNNNNNNNNNNNNNNNNNNNNNNNNNNNNNNNNNNNNNNNNNNNNNNNNNNNNNNNNNNNNNNNNNNNNNNNNNNNNNNNNNNNNNNNNNNNNNNNNNNNNNNNNNNNNNNNNNNNNNNNNNNNNNNNNNNNNNNNNNNNNNNNNNNNNNNNNNNNNNNNNNNNNNNNNNNNNNNNNNNNNNNNNNNNNNNNNNNNNNNNNNNNNNNNNNNNNNNNNNGCGACUCGCCCCCGGCGGUGGUUGGCUAGGGGCGGGUCGGUGGUGCAGGCUGGCGGCGCGGGUCCGGGAUCUCGGCCCGGAUCUGGUCUGCGUCGGUGCUGGCAGGCGUCCUUGGGGUGCUCACGGCAGGGAGUGCGGCGGUUGUCCCCGAAGCUUUACGUGGGGUGUAGCAGGAUGGAGGAUGCUGGUGGUACACCGACACUGGCAGUGGUGGCGGUGCGAGCGCAGCCAUGGCGGCGGCGGCGCUGCGAGGCCUGGCCAGGAAGGGUCUUGGCGAGCGGGCGUUCGGCUGUUGCCGUGUGAGGCGUGCGGCGAUGCCUCGGCGGUGUGGGUGCCGGAGUGUGGUCGGAGGUGCAGGUCGGAUCCAUUCUGGUGGCAGUCCCCUGGCGCGGGUGAAGGCCACCGUGGCGGAUCUGGCUGUGCACCGCUCGGUGGUUGCUGCGAUUCCUAGUCGAGGUUGAAGGUGAUGGCUUUAGUCGUGUUCCCUCAGCAGUGAGGGGGGCUUCGAUGGCAAGUUGCUGCGGUGACGGCGGUGUGAGGCAUCUGAUUGGGACUGGCCGGGAUCUUGGAGACGUAAAUCAGUAAGAGACAUCGUAGAUCACAACAUAUCUAAUAAAGUACGAUUACGACGUUCGGACACACCGUUACGCUGUAGUGUUCCAGGUGGCGUGAGUUGCGAAAUUAUUCCACAUUGUUUCAAAUGAAGGCCAAACUCGCAACUCAAAUAUUCGCCUCCGCGAUCAGAUCGUAGAGACUUUAUUUUCUUAUUACGAUGAGUCUUAACUUCACUCUGAAAUUCUUUGAACUUUUCAAAUGUUUCAGACUUGUGUUUCAUUAAGUAGAUAUACUCAUAUCUGCUCAAAUCAUCUGUGAAGGUCAGAAAAUAAUGAUACCCGCCGCGAGCCUCAACACUCAUCGGACCGCAUACAUCGGUAUGUAUUAUUUCCAAUAAGUUAGUGGCUCGCUCCAUUGUUCCGGAGAACGGAGUCUUAGUCAUCUUGCCCAUGAGGCAUGGUUCUCAAGCAUCAAAUGAUUCAUAAUCAAGUGAUUCCAAAAGUCCAUUCGCAUGGAGUUUCUUCAUGCGCUUUACACCAAUAUGACCUAAACGGCAGUGCCACAAGUAUGUUGCACUAUCAUUAUUAACUUUGCAUUUUUUGGCAUCAAUAUUAUGAAUAUGUGUAUCAUUGCGAUCGAGAUUCAAUAAACCAUUUAUAUUAAGUGUAUGAUCAUAGAAGGUUUUAUUCAUGUAAACAGAACAACAAUUUUUCUUUGACCUAAAUGAAUAACCGUAUUGAAAUAAACAUGAUCCAAUCAUAUUCAUGUUGAAAGUGCGUUAAGUCGACUAGAGGGGGGUGAAUAGGCGGUUUUUAGAAAUUCUUCACUAAGGAAUUUCAGGGUGAGGAAAUUCUUAAGCGAAGAACUACUUACAGCGGAAUGAGUACUCAGAUGCAGACAUGACAUAACAUAAGCAUGGACAUAAUGAUGAAUUGAAAACAAAACACAGAGUACAGAAAGCGUAAGCACAGGAUAAAACAGAACGAAGACAAAUAGACUGAAGAAAUUGAACUGUGGAAAUAGAGAAUGUCUUCAGUCAAAGUCUUCAAACAGAUAUGAACAGGUACACAACAUAGUAAUGAAGAAAUAAAAGGGUUGAGGACAUAGAACGAGUAAUCUUGGUGAAGACAAUGGUUUGGUAGACCAGUUCCAACUGCUGUGACAGUUGUACGUCUGGUUAGAGCAGCUAGGUAUUUAAAUCUAAGAACACACAGUCCCGGACACACAGUCCUCAUCGUAUUCUCCUUGAACUAAGGUCACACAGACCUUGUCCAAUGACUCGUGGUAAGUCUUCAGGUGACUUCCAAACCUUCACAUACUCGGUCACUCGGCGAUCCACAAUUCCUCUUGGAUGCUUUAGACCAUGACGCCUAACCGUCUGGAGGAUGCACAGUCCUCAAAGGUAACAAGCAUCGGUUCCACACAUGAACAAUCUCUUCGGUGAUGCUCAAUCACCUUGGGUUUGUAGGUGUUUGGUUUGGGGUUUUGGGUUCAUCCUCACUUGAUGAUUUUCGCUCAAAGUCCUUGGAGGAUGGAAUGCUCUCAAUGACAAGUAUAUGUUUCUCGCGGAGCAGCCAACCAUCUAGUGGUUGUAGGGGGCGGCUAUUUAUAGCCUAGGGAACAGCCUGACAUGAUAAGACAUAAAUGCCAUUCAAUGAUAUGACCGUUAGGUUGGUAGAUAUUUUUGGGACAGCUGGCGCAUAGCACAGCAACGAUCGGAAAUUUGACUAUAAAAUUCCUUAGGGCUAUCAUGUUCGUCACUUGUAGGCAAUCUAUGUUGGGGAACGUAGCAAUAAUUCAAAAUUUUCCUACGUGUCACCAAGAUCAAUCUAGGAGAUACUAGCAACAAGAGAGAGGGAGUGCAUCUUCAUACCCUUGAAGAUCGCUAAGCGGAAGCGUUCAAGAGAACGGGGUUGAUAGAGUCGUACUCGUCGUGAUCCAAAUCACCGAUGAUCCUAGCGCCAAACGGACGAACCUCCGCGUUCAACACACGUACGGAACGGAGACGUCUCCCGCGCCUUGAUCCAGCAAGGAGGAGGGAGAGGUUGAGGAAGAGAGCUCCAACAGCAGCACGACGGCGUGGGGGUGAUGGAGUGGCAGUUCUCCGGCAGGGCUUCGCCAAGCUCAUGCGGAGGAGGAGAGGUGUUGGGAAGGGGAGGCCUCCCCUUGCCCCUCUAUUUAUAGGGGAAGGGGGAAGGGGGCCGUCCCCCUAUAGAUGAGAUCUAGGGGGGGGGGGCGGCCAAGGGGGAGGGGGCUUGCCCCCCAAGCCAAGGGGGGCGCCCCCUUUAGGGUUCCCCCAACCCUAGGCGCAUGGGCCCUUGGGGGGUUGGCGCCCCAGCCCACUUGGGGCUGGUUCCCUUCCCCUUACAGCCCAUAAGGCCCUCCGGGAGAGGUGGCCCCUCCCGGUGGACCCCCGGAACCCCUCCGGUGGCCCCGGUACAAUACCAAUAUGCCCCGAACCUUUCCGGUGACCGUAUGACAACUUCCCACAUAUAAAUAUUCACCUCCGGACCAUUCCGGAACUCCUCGUGACGUCCGGGAUCUCAUCCGGGACUCCGAACAACAUUCGGUAAUCACAUACAAGUCUUUCUAAUAACCCUAGCGUCAUCGAACCUUAAGUGUGUAGACCCUACGGGUUCGGGAACCAUGCAGACAUGACCGAGACAACUCUCCGGCCAAUAACCAACAACGGGAUCUGGAUACCCAUGUUGGCUCCCACAUGUUCCACGAUGAUCUCAUCGGAUGAACCACGAUGUCGAGGAUUCAAGCAACCCCGUAUACAAUUCCCUUUGUCAAUCGGUACGUUACUUGCCCGAGAUUCGAUCGUCGGUAUCCCAAUACCUCGUUCAAUCUCGUUACCGGCAAGUCACUUUACUCAUUCCAUAACACAUCAUCCCGUGACUAACCCUUAGUCACAUUGAGCUCAUUACGAUGAUGUCUUACCGAGUGGGCCCAGUGAUACCUCUCCGUCAUACGGAGUGACAAAUCCCAGUCUCGAUUCGUGCCAACCCAACAGACACUUUCGGAGAUACCCGUAGUGCACCUUUAUAGUCACCCAGUUACGUUGUGACAUUUGGCACACCCAAAGUAUUCCUACAGUAUCGGGGAGUUGCACAAUCUCAUGGUCUAAGGAAAAGAUACUUUACAUUAGAAAAGCUUUAGCAUAUGAACUACACGGUCUUGCACUAUGCUUAGGAUUGGAUCUUGUCCAUCACAUCAUUCUCCUAAUGAUGUGAUCCCAUUAUCAAUGACAUCCAAUGUCCAUGGUCAGGAAACCAUGACCAUCUAGUGAUCAACGAGCUAGUCAACUAGAGGCUUACUAGGGACAUGUUGUGGUCUAUGUAUUCACACAUGUAUUACGGUUUCUGGUUAAUACAAUUAUAUCAUGAACAAUAGACAAUUAUCAUGAACAAGGAAAUACAAUAAUAACCAUUUUAUUAUUGCCUCUAGGGCAUAUUUCCAACAGUCUCCCACUUGCACUAGAAUCAAUAAUCUAGUUCACAUCACUAUGUGAUUGUAAUGAAUCCAACACCCAUAGGGUUUUUCAUAUCUUGCUUGUGAGAGAGGUUUAUUAGUCAAUGGGUCUGAACCUUUCAGAUCCAUGUGUGCUUGCAAAUCUCUAUGUCAUCUUGUAGAUGCAGCUACCACGCGCUACUUUGAGCUAUUCCAAAUAACUGCUCUACUAUACGAAUCCGGUUUACUACCCAGAGUCAUCCGGAUUAGUGUCAAAGUUUGUAUCGACGUAACCCUUUACGACGAACUCUUUUACCACCUCCAUAAUCAAGAAAAUUCCUUAGUCCACUAGUUACUAAGGAUAAGUUCGACCGCUGUCAUGUGAUCCAUUCCUGGAUCACUCUUGUACCCCUUGACUAACUCAUGGCAAGGCACACUUCAGGUGCAGUACACAGCAUAGCAUACUAUAGAGCCUACGUCUAAAGCAUAGGGGAUGACCUUCGUCCUUUCUCUCUCUUCUGCCGUGGUCAGGUCUUGAGUCUUACUCAAUACUCACACCUUGUAACACAGCCAAGAACUCCUUCUUUGCUGAUCUAUUUUGAACUCCUUCAAAAUCUUGUCACGGUAUGUAUUCAUUUGAAAGUACUAUUAAGCGUUUUUGAUCUAUUCUUAUAGAUCUUGAUGCUCAAUGUUCAAGUAGCUUAAUCCAGGUUUUCCAUUGAAAAACACUUUUCAAAUAACCCUGCAUGCUUUCCAGAAAUUCUACAUCAUUUCUGAUCAACAAUAUGUUAACAACAUAUACUCAUCAAAAAUUCUAUAGUGCUCCCUCUCACUUCUUUGGAAAUACAAGUUUCUCAUAAACUUUGUAUAAACCCAAAAUCUUUGAUCAUCUCAUCAAAGCGUACAUUCCAAUUCUGAGAUGCUUACUCCAGUCCUUAGAAGGAUUGCUGGAGCUUUGCAUACUUGUUAGCAUCUUUCAGGAUUGACAAAACCUUCUGGUUGUAUCACAUACAACCUUUCCUCAAGAAAAUCGUCGAGGAAACAAUGUUUUGACAUCCUAUCUGCAAGAUUUCAUAAAUAAUGCAGUAACUGCUAACAUAAUUCCAACAGACUCUUAGCAUCGCUACGAGUGAAAAAGUCUCAUCGUAGUCAACUCCUUGAACUUGUCGGGAAACAUCUUAAUGACAGGUCGAGCUUUCUUAAUGGUGACACUUACCAUCAUUGUCCGUCUUCCUUUUAAAAUCCAUCUGCACCUAACAGCCUUACGACCAUCAAGUAGUUCUUUCAAAGUCUAUACUUUGUUUUAUACAUGGAUCCUCUCUCGAAUUUUAUGGCCUCGAGCCAUUCGUCGGAAUCCGGGCCCACCAUCACUUCUCCAUAGCUCGUAGGUUCAUUGUUGUCUAGAAACAUGACUUCCAAGAUAGGAUUAUGUAUCAUUCUGAAGUAGUACACAUCCUUGUCGACCUAUGAGGUUUCGUAGUGACUUGAUCUGAAGUUUCAUGAUCACUAUCAUAAGCUUCCACUUCAAUUGGUGUAGGUGCCACAGGAACAACUUCUUGUGCCCUGCUACACACUAGUUGAAGUGACGGUUCAAUAACCUCAUCAAGUCUCCACCAUCCUCCCACUCAAUUCUUUCGAGAGAAACUUUUCCUCGAGAAAGGACCCGUUUCUAGAAACAAUCACUUUUGCUUCCGGAUCUGAAAUAGGAGGUAUACCCAACUAUUUUUGGGUAUUCUAUGAAGAUGCAUUUAUCCGCUUUGGGUUCGAGCUUAUCAGCCUGAAACUUUUUCACAUAAGCAUCGCAGCCCCAAACUUUUAAGAAAUGACAGCUUAGGUUUAUCUAAACCAUAGUUCAUAUGGUGUCAUCUCAACGGAAUUGUGUGGUGCCCUAUUUAAAGUGAAUGCGGUUGUCUCUAAUGCCUAACCCAUAAACGAUAGUGGUAAUUCGAUAAGAGACAUCAUGGUAUGCACCAUAUCCAAUAGGGUGCAGUUAUGAUGUUCGGACACACCAUCACACUAUGGUGGUCCAGGCGGUAUUAGUUGUGAAACAAUUUCCACAAUGUCUUAAUUGUGUACCAAACUUGUAACUCAGAUAUUCAUCUCUAUGAUCAUAUCAUAGACAUUUUAUCAUCUUGUCACGACGAUCUUCAACUUCACUCUGAAAUUACUUGAACCUUUCAAAAAUUCGGACUUGUGUUUCAUCAAGUAAAUAUACUCAGCAUCUACUCAAAUCAUCUGUGAAGUAAGAACAUAACGAUAUCCAUUGCGCGCCUCAACACUCAUUGGACUGUACACAUCAAAAUGUAUUACUUCCAACAAGUUGCUUUCUUGUUCCAUCUUACUGAAAACGAGGUCUUUCAGUCAUCUUGCCCAUGUGGUAUGAUUUGCAUGUCUCAAGCGAUUCAAAAUCAAGUGAGUCCAAACGAUCCAUCUGUAUGGAGUUUCUUCAUGCAUGUCUACCAAUAGACAUGGUUCGCAUGUCUCAUUCUUUUCAAAAACGAGUGAGUCCAAAGAUCCAUCAGCAUGGAGCUUCUUCAUGCAUUUUAUACCAACAUGACUCAAAUGGCAGUGCCACAAGUAUGUGGUACUAUCAUUACUAUCUUAUAUCUUUUGGCAUGAACAUGUGUAUCACUACGAUCGAGAUUCAAUUAACCAUUCAUUUUAGGUGUAAGACCAUUGAAGGUAUUAUUCAAAUAAACAGAGUAACCAUUAUUCUCCUUAAAUGAAUAACCAUAUGGCGAUAAACAUAAUCCAAUCAUGUCUAUGCUCAACGCAAACACCAAAUAACAAUUAUUUCAGUUUAACACCAAUCCCGAUGGUAGAGGGAGCGUGCGAUGUUUGAUCACAUCAACCUUGGAAACACUUCCAACAUAUCAUCAUCUCACCUUUAGCUAGUCUCCGCAGCCUUUUGUUUCGAGUUACUAACACUUAGCAACCGAAUCGGAAUUUAUUACCCUAGUGCUACUAGGAGUACUAGUAAAGUACACAAUAAUAUAACGUAUAUUCAAAAUACUUCUGUCGACCUCGCCAGCCUUCUCAUCUACCAAGUAUCUAGGGUAGUUCUGCUUCAGUGACCGUUCCCCUCAUUACAGAAGCACUUAGUCUCGGGUUUGGGUUCAACCUUGGGUUUCUUCACUAGAGCAGCAACUGAUUUGCCGUUUCAUGAAGUAUCCCUUCUUUCCCUUGCCCUUCUUGAAACUAGUGGUUUAACCAUCAACAAUUGAUCCUCCUACUCGAUUUCUACUUUCGCGGUGUCAAACAUCGCGAGUUGCUCAAGGAUCAUCAUGUCUAUCCCUGAUAUGUUAUAGUUCAUCACUAAGCUCUAAUAGCUCGGUGGCAGUGACUAUGGAGAACCAUCACUAUCUCAUCUGGAAGAUUAACUCCCACUCGAUUCAAGCGAUUGUUGUACUCAGACAAUCUGAGCACAUGCUCAACGAUUGAGCUUUUCUCCCUUAGUUUGCAGGAUUAAGAAACUUGUCAGAGGUCUCACACCUCUUGAUGUGGGCACUAGUCUGAAAUCCCAAUUUCAGUCUUUGGAACAUCUCAUAUGUUCUGCGACAUUUCAAAAAAACGUCUUUGGUGCCACAAUUCUAAACCGUUAGCAUUACGCACUGAACUAUCACGUAGUCAUCAAAACGUGUAUGUCAGAUGUUUCCCAACAUCUACAGACGACGCUCGAGGUUCAGCACACUGAGCGGUGCAUUAAGGACAUAAUCCUUCUGUGCAGCAAUGAGGACAAUCCUCAGUUUACGGACCCAGCCCGCAUAAUAGUUGUCGGUGUUCUGGAAACGGGGGUCCCCAGACUUGCCUGCCUGCGGCCUGCGGCGUGGCUCGAAAGGGGGCCCAGCGCGGCCCAUCUUCACCAACACCAACCCAAGACCCUCGCGAGGGGCCAAGCCUCGCGGGGCGGACGACGCGGAGCUUCCUCAGGCGCGGCCUCGUCAGGCUGGCUCACGAGGAGGCGGAGAAAUCAAGGCGGGGUACCUCACGAGGUGCCCGUGACGCAAGCCAUGACGACCGGGGGCGCCAGGCGGGUGCCAGCCCACGUAGUGUCCUCCCUACCUCUUUGGUGCAAAGGGGGCAAGCGCAGCCGCGGAGUACCGAGGCAUCAGGCAAUGCUGCCAUUUCGGUGCAACGAGACCAAGACCAGGAGGACUACGAGACGGAGGUCACCGUGGAGCCCAAGACGGUGUAAUCACCAGAGCUUUGCGCAGGCGAAGACUACUUUUGUCAGGGUAGCUGAUACUAGCUGUCCCCCUUCAAAUUAGCCCGCCAUUGUUGGCUCCCUUCCCGCUCGAUAUUUGGGAAGAGGACUAGGGCCUCUAUAAAUAGAACCAGGCACCCACAGAGCAAAGGGGCUGAGAGAGAGAGGAAGAGAGAGAGAGGCAGAGGGAGAGAGAGAGAGAAGGGUGACUGAACUCCUCCCAGCAGUUCAUCGCCCCAGCCAAGAACAGACCCUCGCGAGGCUAUUCUUCCUUGUAUUGUUCAUCAUCAUCAGCCCAAGAGGCAAUCCACCACACCACACACUGGAGUAGGGUAUUACACCACAAUGAUGGCCCGAAUCAGUAUAAACCCUGUGUCUCUUGUGUUGUUCUUUCCAUAGUUUAGAUCCUAGCAAGGCGGAGGAGUGCAGGUAGGUAGGAGGCGAAAUCUCCGUGCGCACACCAGUGUUCGAACCUCAAGGGUCUGCCGGAACCCGAAAUGCGACAUUUGGCGCGCCAGGUAGGGGUGCGCCGGGAUUCGUCUUCCACCACCCCGUUCUCCUCCGACCAUCACACCCAUGUCUGACGCUCGUCGGGCCCGCGCCGAGUGCCGGGCCGCGCUCGCUUCCCGCGUCGCCCAGACGGCCCCUGUCGGCGGGCGUCCUCGUCGUUCCCCGUCGCCUACCGUCAACGCCGCCACCGGCCCGGCGGGGGACGAGAAGCAAGCAUCGUCCCAGCAUCCGUCCGUGCGGCAAGACGGCCGCACCGCAACUCCCUCGCUCACCCCAGCUGGUUCUUCGUCCCGCGCGCUCCGCGCGCCCAUGGAGGCUCGGGCUACACUCAUCACAGCGAACGAGCUCCUGCGCUACCGUCCCAUCGACGACAUCUACGAAGAAUGGCUCGACCGCGUCGCCGAGCUCGUCCGCGCCGCAGGGGGCUCUCCUGCGCCGUCCGUUCCGCUGCACCGCACCCCGCGCCGCGCGGGCAAUGAAGCUCCGGCGACGCCCCGGCCGCCUCCUCCUCAGGAAGGCGCCAUGGCUCCAAGGCGCGUGGCCCCUGGGCGGAACCCGCUCCGUCAGGCGCCAGCGCAGCAAGAGCAGAGCUGUCAAGAAGUCCCUCACCCGCAAGAAGCUACCCGGGCGCUUCCUGCUCCAGCAUGUCGCGACCAUGCUCCUGCUCCCGUGCGUCAAGACCCCGCGCUGCUCCCAGCUGUAGUGCGUGGGGACAUGCAAGACCAAGCUCCCCACCAUCCAAGGCCUCCCGUGGCCACGGCAGGCUGCCGCGCCUUCACCGCCGAGCUACACAGUGUCGCGUGGCCCGGCAAGUUCAAGCCAGACUUGCCUCCUCGCUACGACGGCAAGGCUGACCCUGUGGAGUUCCUCCAGCUCUACGAGCUGGGCAUCGAAGCUGCCAACGGAGACGAGAAGGUCAUGGAGAACUGGUUCCCCAUGGCACUUAAGGACGGGGCCCGCACCUGGCUCCUGAACCUGGCUCUAGGCACACCUCCUCCUGGGACAAGAUGCGCACCCGCUUCAUCGCCAACUUCCAAGGCACUCGCGACCGUCCACCCGCCGUGAGCGACAUGCGCCGCAUCAAGCAACAGCCUGGGGAGACCCUGGAGAAGUACAUCCAGCGCUUCAACAACGCGCGCCUCAAGAUUCCCAAGGUGACUGAGGAGGCCAUCAUCUCGGCCUUCUCCGAAGGCGUGCGCGACGUCAAGAUGAAGGAGGAGCUAGCGAUGCAUGAAGACCUGUGCACUUCCUUGGAACUGUUCAACCUGGCAACCAAGUGUGCCAGGGCUGAGGAAGGGCGUCUCUCCCUCCUCGAGCUGCCUGCCGCAGACCCAGAAGAGAAGAAGCCCAAGGCCAAGGAUGUGAAGCGCAAGGGGGCUGCCGUGCUCCCGGCAGAACCAGACACCAAGCGGGGCAGAGAUCAGCCCGAACCUUCCAAGGGCAGCCGGUACUGUGUGUACCACAACCUCCACACCCACAACACCAACGAAUGUCAAGAGCUCCGAGCCGUGCGAGAAGGAAGGAUCGACCGUCGCCCUGACCGCAGUGACCGGGGCUACGACCGAGGAGGAGGAAGGAACGCAGGACGCUGGGAAGACCGUGGCCUGCGCCAAGGGUGGCGCGAUCAAGCUUGUGAGGAUCGCUGGCAAGACCAUCCUCGCGAGGGAGGCUGGAGGGAUCAGCCUCGCGAGGGAGACUGGAGGGAUCAGCCUCGCGAGGAUCGCCCGCAAGGCAAUGCAGGCCUCCCACCGCUGCCGCCGCAGCCAAGGAGAAACGAGGACCGCCACCGAGACGAGGGGGCUGGGGGCUUCCAGGAGCCGUGCGCGAUCGCCUGCAUCCUGGGCGGGGCGCAAGCCCCAGCCUCUCAGCGCAUCUUCAAGCAGUUCGCCCGAGAAGUGAACGCAGUCCUCCCCAGGCUCGAAGCCACGCGCCCUCUCAGGUGGUCGGCGUGCGCCAUCACGUUCAGCUCAGCAGAUCAGCUCAAGUGUGCGGCUACAGCCGGAGUCCUCCCGAUGCUUUGUUCCCCAAUCAUCAGCAACGUGGUGGUCACCAAGACCCUCGUCGAUGGCGGGGAAGGGCUCAACGUCCUAUCCAUGGAAACAUUCAACAACCUGCAAGUGCCCUACAGCCAGCUUCAGCCAACCAAGCCUUUCUCCGGUAUCACCGACAACUCCACAGUCUUGAUUGGGCAGGUCCGCCUCCCUGUCACCUUCGGGGCACGUGACAACUACCGCACCGAGCUCAUCGACUUCGACGUCGCUCACAUUCGCCUUCCGUACAACGCCAUCCUUGGGUACCCAACACUGGUCAAGUUCCUGGCCGUAACUCACCACGGCUACAACGUCCUCAAGAUGCCAGGAAGCGGCGGAGUCAUCAUGGUGCCCUGUGAAGAGAAGGACGCAGUGUGUUCCCUCGAACGAGCCUUUCAGGACACGUCACUGGAAGACCCGGAUCGUGGAAGCAGGAGGCCUCCCGAGACCGCCCCUAAGAAGAAGAAGACAUCGUCCGGCCUGACCACUCAGGAGGCAGGCCCCUCUGGGCCCGCGCCUGCCCAGGGGGAACCUCCUUCCAUCACAAAGGAAAGCGCGCCCAGCUCCCUCCUCAGGCAGGGCUCGGGGGCUCUCCCCCGGAGGGCCACCGACCUAGCUAGGGUCAUGAGGGAGGCGCUUGGGCACCACAUGGAGGCGUGUUUCGAAGCAUGUUUCCCUCAAGAAGGAGCAAGGCAAGGAGACCCAGACCCUCAGGAGUUCUUCGACAAGGCCAUUCAGGAGCAGCAGGAGUCAAGAGUCAUGAAAGGCGGCUGCCACCUACCAACAGUGGCUCCCCAUCCAGGCAAGGAUGGUGGGCUGCGCGUCUGCAUCGACAUACCAGGGCUCAACCGAGUCGCCUCUCUGGAGCGCCUCUGGCCCUCACUAGUGGGGCGCUGCGGAGGCCCACCCCACAGCUACGUUCGCAUGCCUUACGGCUUGCCGAACGCGGCUGACAUGUACCAGCGCCUCAUGAGGGGCAUCACGGAGGCAUGAGAGGCCAGGCGUUCCGCAGCCCUGGCAGGGAUGGAGAUGGCCCGUGAGGAGUCUCCAGCGCCUUCGGAGCCUCCCGAGGCCCCUGGGCUGGGGGCUCGUGAGGAUCGGCUUCCGCAGCCCACCAAGCCUGCUACAUCGAUGCCCCUUUGUCCUCAACAUCAUCAGGUGACAUCUUUCGAGUUUUAUUUCUAGCUGGGAGCGCCCACCCGGGGCUGCAUUAUUCCCAGGCCGCGUGGGUCCGUCCCUGCGGCGUGUAUCCCUUUUUUAUUCCAUGUUGUUAGCUUACCUUGUUGGGGGCGCCCCUCGGGCUACAUGACCCCCCAAGUCGCUUGGGCCUGACCCAGUGAUGUCCGCAUUCCCAGCAUCUAUUUGAACGAAUCCACUCCUUCGCGGCUAAUGUGUUUUACCUAGUUGCCUGCUCAGCUGACGCCAACUAACGGAGCUGCUCCCAAAUGGCACGACGCUUGCGCAUGGGUCCGUCCCUGCAACGCUGACAAACCUGGAUGGCUGAGCUCUGGCCACGGCAGCCCCGCAUAGCGUCACCUCGUCAAGCCUUCAGUGCCUCACUACCCCUCGGAAGCAACCAACGGCUGACUGUCAAUUGUCAUGGCAACCCCUUGUUUUUUCUAUGAUGGACCUGCAGGACCUCCUGAAAGGGGCUGCGUCAGGCGAGGCCCUCGCGGUGUCACCUGCACUCUCGUCCGCGCGAACCGCUUGCACGUUAAAGGGGGGUGCCUGAGCAUAGCGACUCAGGGCUCCUACUGGCUCUCCAGCCCCCACCCUCUGGCCUUGACCACGGCAUCGCGACCUGGCAUACCAACGACGGCUGAGACUCGCUCGAGGGCCGGGACCUGAGGACGUAGAGCAGAAAGGGGAGCAAAGGCGAGAGGGGAGAGACACACGAGGACCUCGCCAAGCAACCUCGCGCCUGCCGAUGCACGGACCCGGCGACACACCAAAGAGCGGCCCCUGAUCCUCGAGAUAAGUCAUCACCCGGAAGCGCCAGCUGCCGUGGCACCAUCCCCGCACCUAAUGCUAUCCCGUGUUAGCGAUGCCGCUCUCCUUUCUCACCAAACGACGGCUGCUUGGGCGCCAAAGGGGACCUCCUGAGCAUCGCGACUCAGGGGCUCUUACCGGACUCCGGGUCGCUCACCUCUUGGCCUUGACCACGGCAUCGCGACCUGGCAUACCAGCAACGGCUAAAGCCGCCUUGGGACUGGGACCUGCCGGCGCAAAGCACCAAGCCCUCGUGAGAUUCGAAAGGGAGGACUGAGCUGAGGCGGAAUGAGCAACUCGCGCAAUUCUACGACAAGGGUUAUAUUAACAAACAAGAUCACAGGCACCUUACAAGCCCCCACGGGACGCAUUUUUGAUUCCUCGCAGGGAACAUAUCCUAAAGGGACACAAACUACGCACGACCCUACAAAAGACGCCAUCAUCAAUAGUGGGCCGUCAAGCACCGACGCCAACCCCAUCCAGAUCAGAGUCGGCGGCGGCCUGACGAGCCCGCCCUGCUCCAGGAGCGGCGCUGGCUCGGGGGCUCGGAGCUAUCGUCGCUCGUCUCCGGAGUCGCGAAGAGCUCGCCGAAGUCACUGGAACCUCCGAUGCCUCCACCGCCUGAGGAGCCGCCAAGGGAGCGGUUGUCGGGCCCAGUCCUCAUCGUGGCAGGGUCCUGGCCACCUUCCUCGGGGCAGCACUCCAGCCGGCGCCUGCUCGCAUCGAAGACCUUGAAGAGCAUCACCGAAGCACCGUCGUAAUCCAAGUGGACCGCGAAGACGCCCCUUACCCUGCAAACCCGGGCGAUCUCUCUCCAGCCCCGAGUCAUGAAGACCUCGCCCAGGGCAAUGACCGCGACCUCUGCCUCGGUCGCGAGGGUGCUGCAGCCGGGGUGCUGCAGCCAGAGCACCAGGGGCUCCCCCUGCGGGAUGAUGGAGGCGAAGAAGGAAGGAAGGCGGAUCCAAGACUGAAGAGGAAUGGCGACGUGGAGCAUGAAAUCUUGGGAGGAGCCCUCGGUGUGGACCCUAGGAGGGAUGACCCACACCUUCGUGACCCGCCGGCGCCGACGGCGGCGCUGCCCGUGGCGGUCAGCAUCAGCUCCUCCAGGGCCCUUGACGUGGGCGUACAAUGGCAGCGGGAACCCCGGCGGCACCCGCUCGCACCAAGGCCUCGACACCACCUGAAGGGCCCCCUCGUCCGGGCCACGGGGGGCGAGCCAUUUCUUCGGCGGGAGUGGGUCUGGUUCCUCUCGGGGAGCCUUUCCCUUCUCUGCCGUCAAGAACCGGCGGAUCGGAGCCAUUGCAGCAAGACGGAGCAAGGAUCAGGAAGAAGGAGAAGCAAGGAGGGAUGGACUAGAAGGGCGCGCGUUGUUCCGUACUUAUGGCCAGCGAAGGCCAACCGCCGACCUCCACGAUUGCAGGUAAUCAUGACCCACUUUGCAUGCAGGGACUUGUCCAAUCCGUGCAGUUGCUGAGGCGCCAUGGGGAAGUGGAGGCGCCCACGUCCAACCAACCGCCAUGCGGCGCCCAAGGCCGCAGGCUGUUAGGGCCCACGGCGCUUCGCUCUUGCCCUUUCGCCUCCUUGCACGGCCCAAGUCCGGGUGCGCCUUGGGCCCGGGGGCUACUGUCGGCGUUCUGGGAGCGGGGGUCCCCAGACUUGCCUGCCUGCGGCGUGGCUCGAAAGGGGGCCCAGCGUGGCCCAUCUUCACCAACACCAACCCAAGACCCUCGCGAGGGGCCAAGCCUCGCGGGGCGGCGACGCGGAGCUUCCUCAGGCACGGCCUCAUCAGGCUGGCUCACGAGGAGGCAGAGAAAUCAAGGCGGGGUACCUCACGAGGUGCCCGUGACGCAAGCCAUGACGACCGGGGGCGCCAGGCGGGUGCCAGUCCGCGCGGUGUCCUCCCUACCUCUUUGGUGCAAAGGGGGCAAGCGCAGCCGCGGAGUACCGAGGCAUCAGGCAAAGGUUGCCAUUUCGGUGCAACGAGACCAAGACCAGGAGGACUACAAGACGGAGGUCACCGUGGAGCCCAAGACGGCGUCAUCACCAGAGCUUUGCGCAAGCGAAGACUACUUUUGUCAGGGUAGCUGAUACUAGUUGUCCCCCUUCAAAUUAGCCCGCCAUUGUUGGCUCCCUUCCCGCUUGAUAUUUGGGAAGAGGACUAGGGCCUCUAUAAAUAGAACCAGCCACCCAUAGAGCAAAGGGGGCUGAGAGAGAGAGGCAGAGAGAGAGGCAGAGGGAGAGAGAGAGAGAAGGAUGACUGAACUCCUCCUAGCAGUUCAUCGCCCCAGCCAAGAACAGACCCUCGCGAGGCUGUUCUUCCUUGUAUUGUUCAUCAUCAUUAGCCCAAGAGGGAAUCCACCACACCACACACUGGAGUAGGGUAUUACACCACAACGGUGCCCCGAACCAGUAUAAACCCCGUGUCUCUUGUGUUGUUCUUUCCAUAGUUUAGAUCCUAGCAAGGCGGAGGAGUGCAGGUAGGUAGGAGGCGAAAUCUCCGCGCGCACCCCAGUGCUCGAACCUCAAGGGUCUCCCGGAACCCGAAAUCUGACAAUUGCUACUGUCAACUCUCAAUUAAAUUUUCUCUAGGAACAUAUCUAAAACAGUAGAACCAAAGCGUGAACUACGACAUAAUUUGCAAAGACCUUUUGACUAUGUUCAUGAUAUUUAAGUUCAUCUAAUCAAAUUAUUCAAUGAACUCCCACUUAGAUAGACAUCCCUCUAGUCAUCUAAGCGAUACAUGAUCCGAGCCAACUAGGCCGUGUCCGAUCAUCAUGUGAGACAGACUAGUCAUCAUCGGUGAACAUCUUCAUGUUGAUGUAUCCACUAAAUGACUCAUGUUCGACCUUUCGGUCUUCCGUGUUCUGAGGCCAUGUCUGUAAAUGCUAGGCUCGUCAAGUUAACCUAAGUGUAAUGCGUGUGUAAAUCUGGCUUACACCCGUUGUAUGCGAACGUUAGAACCUAUCACACCCGAUCAUCACGUGGUGCUUCGGAACAACGGACCUUAGCAAUGGUGCACAGUUAGGGGGAACACAAUUCUUUAUAUUUUAAUGAGGGAUCAUCUUAUUUAUGCUACCGUCGUUCUAAGCAAAUAAGAUGUGAAAACAUGACAAACAUCACAUGCAAAUCAUAAAGUGACAUGAUAUGGCCAAUAUCAUCUUGCGCCUUUGAUCUCCAUCUUCGAGGCGCGGCAUGAACACCAUCAUCACCGGCAUGACACCAUGAUCUCCAUCAUCAUGAUCUCCAUCAUCGUGUCUUCAUGAAGUUGCCUCGCCAACUAUUACUUCUACUACUAUGGCUAACGGUUAGCAAUAAAGUAAAGUAAUUACAUGGCGUUUUCAUUGACAUGCAGGUCAUAAAUAAAUUAAGACAACUCCUAUGGCUCCUGCCGGUUGUCAUACUCAUCGACAUGCAAGUCGUGAUUCCUAUUACAAGAACAUGAUCAAUCUCAUACAUCACAUAUAUCAUUCAUCACAUCCUUUUGGCCAUAUCACAUCACAAAGCAAACCCUGCAAAAACAAGUUAGACGUCCUCUAAUUGUUGUUGCAUGUUUUAUGUGGCUGCUAUGGGUUUCUAGCAAGAACGUUUCUUACCUACGCAAAACCACAACGGUGAUAUGCCAAUUGCUAUUUACCCUUCAUAAGGACCCUUUUCAUCGAAUCCGAUCCGACUAAAGUGGGAGAGACAGACACCCGCCAGCCACCUUAUGCAUCAAGUGCAUGUCAGUCGGUGGAACCAGUCUCACGUAAGCGUACGUGUAAGGUCGGUCCGGGCCUCUUCAUCCCACAAUGCCGCCGGAUCAAGAUAAGACUAGUAACGUUAAGCAAAUUGAACAAAUCAUCGCCCACAACUGCUUUGUGUUCUACCCGUGCAUGGAAUCUACGCAUAGACCUAUCUCAUGAUGCCACUGUUGGGGAACGUAGCAAUAAUUCAAAAUUUUCCUACGUGUCACCAAGAUCAAUCUAGGAGAUACUAGCAACGAGAGAGAGGGAGUGCAUCUUCAUACCCUUGAAGAUCGCUAAGCGGAAGCGUUCAAGAGAACGGGGUUGAUGGAGUUGUACUCGUCGUGAUCCAAAUCACCGAUGAUCCUAGCGCCGAACGGACGACACCUCCGUGUUCAACACACAUACGGAACGGAGACAUCUCCCGCGCCUCGAUCCAGCAAGGAGGAGGGAGAGGUUGAGGAAGAGAGCUCCAACAGCAGCACGGCGGCGUGGUGGUGAUGGAGUGGCAGUUCUCCGGCAGGGCUUCGCCAAGCUCACGCGGAGGAGGAGAGGUGUUGGGGAGGGGAGGGGCUGCGCCUUGGAUGUGGUGGUGCAGCCCUCCCUUUUCCCCUCUAUUUAUAGGGGAAGGGGGAUGGGGGCCGGCCCCCUCUAGAUGAGAUCUAGAGGGAGGGGCAAGGGGGAGGGGGCUUGCCCCCCAAGCCAAGGGGGGGGGGGCGCCCCCUUUAGGGUUCCCCCCAACCCUAGGCGCAUGGGCCCUUGGGGGUUGGCGCCCCAUCCCACUUGGGGCUGGUUCCCUUCCCCUUACAACCCAUAAGGCCCUCCGGGAGAGGUGGCCCCUCCCGGUGGACCCCCGAAACCCUCCGGUGGUCCCGGUACAAUACCAAUAUGCCCCCGAACCUUUUCGGUGACCGUAUGACAACUUCCCACAUAUAAAUCUUCACCUCCGGACCAUUCCGGAACUCCUCAUGACGUCCGGGAUCUCAUCCGGGACUCCGAACAACAUUCGGUAAUCACAUACAAGUCUUCCUAAUAACCCUAGCAUCAUCGAACCUUAAGUGUGUAGACCCUACGGGUUCGGGAACCAUGCAGACAUGACCGAGACAACUCUCCGGCCAAUAACCAACAGCGGGAUCUGGAUACCCAUGUUGGCUCCCACAUGUUCCACGAUGAUCUCAUAGGAUGAAACACGAUAGGAUUCAAGCAAUCCCGUAUACAAUUCCCUUUGUCAAUCGGUACGUUACUUGCCCGAGAUUCGAUCGUCGGUAUCCCAAUACCUCGUUCAAUCUCGUUACCGGCAAGUCACUUUACUCGUUCUGUAACACAUCAUCCCGUGACUAACCCUUAGUCACAUUGAGCUCAUUACGAUGAUGUCUUACCGAGUGGGCCCAGUGAUAUCUCUCCGUCAUAUGGAGUGACAAUUCCCAGUCUCGAUUCGUGCCAACCCAACAGACACUUUCGGAGAUACCCGUAGUGCACCUUUAUAGUCACCCAGUUACGUUAUGACGUUUGGCACACCCAAAGUAUUCCUACAGUAUCCGGGAGUUGCAAAAUCUCAUGGUCUAAGGAAAAGAUACUUGACAUUAGAAAAGCUUUAGCAGACGAACUACACGAUCUUGCGCUAUGCUUAGGAUUGGGUCUUGUCCAUCACAUCAUUCUCCUAAUGAUGUGAUCCCGUUAUCAAUGACAUCCAAUGUCCAUGGUCAGGAAACCAUGACCAUCUAUUGAUCAACGAGCUAGUCAACUAGAGGCUUACUAGGGACAUGUUGUGGUCUAUGUAUUCACACAUGUAUUACGGUUUCCGGUUAAUACAAUUAUAGCUUGAACAAUAAACAAUUAUCAUGAACAAGGAAAUACAAUAAUAACCAUUUUAUUAUUACCUCUAGGGCAUAUUUCCAACAAUCUGCACUGGCAAAUUCCUAACUCCUCAGUCAGAACAAAUUCCCCAGAGACCAGAAGAACUUCUUCUCUGUCACUGAAGAAAAUGACUGAACUGCAUGAGAUUUCCAAUGGCUUCACUCUAAGGGAUUAGUAGGUGUAGGAUUUUGAGAUGAGCAUCACUUGGAAACUUUUCCUUAGUUUUACCUCGACCCCUGAUGACCCACAAGUAGAGGGGAUCUAUCGUAGUCCUUUCGAUAAGUAAGAGUGUCGAACCCAACGAGGAGCAGAAGGAAAUGAUAAUCGGUUUCCAGCAAGGUAUUCUCUGCAAGUUCUAAAAUAAGUGGUAACAGAUAGUUUUGUGAUAGGAUAAUUUGUAACAAGCAACAAGUAACAAAAGUUAAUAAGGUGCGGCAAGGUGGACCAAUCCUUUUUGUAGCAAAGGACAAGCCUGGACAAACUCUUAUAUGAUGUAAAGCGCUCCCGAGGACACAUGGGAAUAUCGUCAAUCUAGUUUUCAUCAUGCUCAUAUGAUUCGUGUUUGGUACUUUGAUAAUUUGGUAUGCGGGUGGACCGAUGCUUGGGUACUGCCCUUACUUGGACAAACAUCCCACUUAUGAUUAACCUCUAUUGCAAGCAUCCGCAAAUACAACAAAAGUAUUAAGGUAAACCUAACCAUAGCAUGAAACAUAUGGAUCCAAAUCUGCCCCUUAUGAAGCAACACAUAAACUAGGGUUUAAGCUUCUGUCACUCUAGCAACCCAUCAUCUACUUACUUCUUCCCAAUGCCUUCCUCUAGGCCCAAACAAUGGUGAAGUGUUAUGUAGUCGACGUUCACAUAACACCACUAGAGGAGAGACAACAUACAUCUCAUCAAAAUAUCAAACGAAUACCAAAUUCACAUGACUACUAAUAGCAAGACUUCUCCCAUGUCCUCAGGAACAAAAGUAACUACUCACAAAGCAUAAACAUGUUCAUAAUCAGAGGGGUGUUAAUAUGCAUAUAGGAUCUGAACAUAUUGUCUUCCACCAAUUAAACCAACUAGCAUCAACUACAAGGAGUAAUGAACACUACUAGCACCAAUUCUGAACUUGGAGACAAGAAUUGGAUACAAGAGAUGAACUAGGGUUUUGAGAUGAGAUGGUGCUGAUGAAGAUGUUGAUGGAGAUUGCCCUCUCCCGAUGAGAGGAGAGUUGGUGAUGACGAUGGCGAUGAUUUCCCCCUCCGGGAGGGAAGUUUCCCGGCAGAACAGCCCCGCCAGAACUCUAGAUUGGCUCCGCCAAGGUUCCGCCUCGUGGCGGCGGAGUUUCGUCCGAGAAGAUGGCUUAUGAUUUUUUCCCAUCGAAAGAGUCCAUAUAGCAGAAGAUGGUCACCGGAGAGCCAUCAGGGGGCCCACGAGGUAGGGGGGCAUGCCCAGGGGGGUAGGGCGCCCCCACCCUCGUGGGCAGGGUGUGGCCCCCCUGGUGAAGUUCUUGCGCUCAAUGUUUUUUAUAUAUUUGGAAAACAUCACCCAUGAAGUUUCAGGACUUUUGGAGCUGUGCAGAAUAGGUCUCUAAUAUUUGCUCCUUUUCCAGCCAGAAUCCCAGCUACCGGCAUUCUCCCUUAUUAUGUAAACCUUGUAAAAUAAUUGAGAAUAGGCAUAAGUAUUGCGACAUAAUGUGUAAUAACAGCCCAUAAUGCAAUAAAUAUUGAUAUAAAAGCAUGAUGCAAAAUGGACAUAUCAACUCCCCCAAGCUUAGACCUCGCUAGUCCUCAAGCGAAAAGCCGAAAUCGAAAAAUAUGUCCACAUGUUUAGAGAUGAAGGUGUUGAUAAAAAUAAAAUACGAACAUGAGGGCAUCAUGAUCAUUCUUAGAACAACAACUUAUAUAAUUCUUGUCAUAUGACAUCUUAUGCUAGAGUAAUAAUUCAAUCACAAUAUCAAGUAUGAAUCAUAAACUUCAUUGAAAACUGAUAAACUAUAAUCUUAGUCAUUGAGGCAAUUGCAAUUUAUCAUAACAUAGGAAAGAGUCAAUGUAUAAGAGCUUUUCAGCAAGUCCACAUACUCAACUAUCAUAUAGUCUUUCACAAUUGCUGACACUCACGCAAUACUUAUGGGUAUGGAGUUUUAAUCGGACACAGAGAAAGAUGGGGGCUUAUAGUUUUGCCUCCCAACGUUUUACCUCAAGGGUAAUGUCAACAGUGUUCAUGAAAACCCACAUCCAAUUAGCCAUAUAUACCAGGAUCUUUCCAACAUAUUGUGCUUGCCAAAGGAUAAAAUGUAAAAAGGGAAGGGUGAAGAUCACCAUGACUCUUUUGCAGUAAAGGAGAUAAAAGUAAAAGAUAGGCCCUUCGCAGAGGGAAGCAGAGGUUGUCAUGCGCUUUUAUGGUUGGAUGCACGAAAUCCUAAUGUGAAAGAACAUCACUUUAUAUUGCCACUUGUGAUAUGGACCUUUAUUAUGCAGUCUGUCGCUUUUAUUACUUCCAAAUCACACGAUCGAAUAAACCUUAUUUCUUCCACACCAAUCAAUCAUACAUAUUUAGAGAGCAAUUUUUAUUGCUUGCAUCGAUGACAACUUACUUGAUGGAUAUUACUCAAUCCUUAGGUAGGUAUGGUGGACUCUCAUGGCAAAACUGGUUUAAGGGUAUUUGGAAGCACAAGUAGUAUCUCUACUUGGUGCAAUGAAUUUGGCUAGCAUGAGGGAGAAAGGCAAGCUCAACAUGUUGGAGGAUCCAAGACAAUAUAAUUUAUCUCAGAUGUAAGAAAACAUAACCCAUUAUGUUGUCUUCCUUGUCCAAUGUCAACUCUUUAGCAUGUCAUAUUUUAAUGAGUGCUCACAAUCAUAAAAGAUGUCCAAGAUAGUAUAUUUAUAUGUGAAGACCUCUCUUCCUUUAUUACUUCCUAUUAAUUGCAAUGAUGACCAAAACUAUGUUUGUCAACCCUCAAUAACUUUUAUUCAUCAUACUCUUUCUAUGUGAGCUCAUUACUCUCCAUAAGAGUCACAUGAUCUCUUUGUUUCUUUUUAUUUCUUUCUCUUUUCCUUUAUUCACUUAGGAUCAUGGCAAAAUAAUCAAGCCCUUGACUCAACACUAACCUUUAUUAUAUAGCUCACGGACUCAAUUACAUAGAAGGAUAAUAAAGCAAAACUCACAACUAGAUCAUACUAAGAACUUUUAUUCUACUAGAUCAAAAUAUUACCAAGAGGAUCGAACUAAGAAAAACGGUAAAGAUAAAAAUGAUGGUGAUACGAUACCAGGGCACUCCCCCAAGCAUGGCAGUUGCCAAGUGGAGUGCCCAUACCCAUGUGAUUAUGUCUCUCUUUUCGGGGAUGGUGAUGUGAUGUCCUUGGCGAUGAUGCCCUUCAAAAUACGAUUCUCCUCCUCAAGCUUGUUGACUUGAUGCUUGAGAUCCAUUAUUUCCUUUCGGAGUUUUCCUGUAACAGCCAAAGCUCCCUACACCCAAGGGUGCUGCAUAGGUGUGGGAGAACCAAUGACACUCUUUUUCAUAUUCUCAUAAGAAAGAAAUCUAACAUUGGAAGGGAUAACCGAGUUUGGAAUAGCUGAGCUCUGCAGUUCUCCGAUUGUGAAUCCAGCUUGGAGGCAGGAAGUGACUUCUUGAUCCUCCAUGGCAUCUAUCCUCAUCAAGUUAGCCUCCAUCUCUUCCUUCGUUGCUGGUCCAAAGGGGUCAACAUGAUUGUUUGUCAUUGAUCCUAGUGCCGGAUGAGACACCCGGCUCUCCCCGACUGACUCUUGCGAAGACAUCCUGCUCUAAUAUGCAACAGCAAUAGCUCGAAACACAAACAUGAGAUUUUUGCGUGAUACGGGAGUCAAAACCCCCGGGAGGUUAUAUAAUGAAUUUUUACCGACCAAAUUACGUGUUCUGUAAGAAAACGGAGUCCGGAGAGCACACGAGGUGCCCACGAGGUAGGGGGGCGCGCCCAGGGGGUAGGGCGCGCCCUCCACCCUCGUGGGGCCCUUGUGUCCUUUCCGGACUGCUACUUAUUUUUCUAUUUUUCUAAAUAUUCCAAAACAAAGAAUCAUUGCCUUAAAAACUAUUUUGGAGUCGGUUCACUUACCGUACCACAUACCUAUUCCUUUUCGAAGUCUGAAACGUUCCGGAAAGUGUCCUUUAUGUACUCCUCCAGGGUUAUGGUUUCAAUAACAUUGUUUUCAACAUUUAUGGGAUUACCUUAGAUAUAAUGUUUGAUUCUUUGACCAUUUACUACCUUCGGAUUUGUGCCUUCGAAGUUGUUGAUUUUUAUGGCACCGGAACGGUAGACCUCCUCGAUAACGUAGGGACCUUCCCAUUUAGAGAGAAGUUUUCCUGCAAAAAAUCUUAAACGAGAGUUGUAUAGCAAUACAUAAUCACCUACAUUAAACUCACGCUUUUGUAUUCUUUUAUCAUGCCACCUUUUAACCUUUUCUUUAAACAACUUGGCAUUUUCGUAGGCUUGGUUCUCCAUUCAUCAAGUGAGUUAAUAUCAAAUAACCUCUUCUCACCGGCAAGUUUAAAAUCAUAAUUUAGUUCUUUAAUAGCCCAAUAAGCCUUGUGUUCUAGUUCGAGAGGUAAGUGACAUGCUUUUCCAUAGACCAUUUUAUACGAAGACAUACCCAUAGGAUUUUUAUAUGCAGUUCUAUAGGCCCAUAAUGCAUCAUCAAGUUUCUUGGACCAAUUCUUUCUAUACCUAUUAACAGUCUUUUGCAAAAUUAAUUUGAGUUCUCUAUUACUCAAUUCUACUUGACCACUAGACUGAGGAUGAUAAGGAGAUGCAAUUCUAUGAUUAACAUCAUAUUUAGCAAGCAUUUUACGGAAAGCACCAUGAAUAAAAUGUGAACCACCAUCAGUCAUUAAAUAUCUAGGGACUCCAAACCUUGGAAAGAUAACUUCUUUAAGAAUUUUAAUAGAAGUGUUAUGAUCAGCACUACUAGUUGGAAUAGCUUCUACCCACUUAGUAACGUAAUCAACAACAACUAAAAUAUGUGUAUAACCAUUAGAGGAAGGGAAAGGUCCCAUAUAGUCAAAGCCCCAAACAUCAAAUGGUUCAAUAACAAGUGAAUACUUCAUAGGCAUUUCUUGACGUCUACUAAUAUUACCAAUUCUUUGACAUUCAUCACAAGAUAAGACAAACUUACGGGCGUCCUUGAAGAGAGUAGGCCAAUAAAAACCAGAUUGUAGUACCUUAUGUGCAGUUCUAUCUCCAGCAUGGUGCCCUCCAUAAGCUUCGGAGUGACACUUGCGUAGGAUCUGUUCCUGUUCAAGAUCAGGUACACAACGUCUAAUAACACCAUCUACUCCUUCUUUAUAAAGAUGUGGGUCACCCCAAAAGUAAUGCCUCAAAUCAUAAAAGAACUUUUUCUUUUGCUGGUAUGUGAAACUAGGUGGUAAAAACUUAGCAACAAUGUAAUUAGCAUAAUCAGCAUACCAUGGAGCAGUAUGAGAAGCAUUUAUGACAUUUAAUUGCUCAUCAGGAAAGCUAUCAUCAAUAGGUAGUGGGUCAUCAAGCACAUUUUCUAACCUAGACAAGUUGUCUGCAAUGGGGUUCUCAGCCCCUUUUCUAUCAACAAUAUGUAAAUCAAAUUCUUGAAGCAAGAGAACCCAUCUAAUAAGUCUAGGUUUAGCAUCUUUCUUUUCCAUAAGAUAUUUAAUAGCAGCAUGAUCAGUGUGAAUAGUUACUUUAGAAUAAAAAAUAUAGGGUCUAAACUUAUCACAAGAAAAUACAACUUCUAAGAAUUCUUUUUCAGUAGUAGCAUAAUUUCUUUGAGCAUUGUCUUGAGUUUUACUAGAAUAUUGAAUAACAUUUAGUUUCUUAUCAACUCUUUGUCCUAGAACAACACCUACAACAUAAUCACUAGCAUCACACAUAAUUUCAAAGGGUAAAUUCCAAUCAGGUGGCUGAACAAUAGGUGCAGAGAUCAAUGCUUUCUUAAGUAUUUCAAAUGCUUCUACACAAUCAUCAUCAAAGACAAAUGGUAUAUCUUUUUGUAAUAAAUUAGUCAGGGGCCGAGAAAUUUUCGAGAAGUCCUUAAUGAACCUCCUAUAAAACCCAACAUGACCAAGGAAACUUCCUAUACCUUUGAUGUCCUUGGGACAUGGCAUAUUUUCAAUAGCACCAACCUUGGCUUUAUCAACUUCAAUACCUCUUUCAGAAACUUUAUGCCCCAAGACAAUAUCUUCAUUGACCAUAAAGUGGCACUUUUCCCAAUUCAAGACAAGAUUAGUUUCUUCACAUCUCUGCAAAACUCGAUCAAGGUUUCUCAAGCAAUCACCAAAAGAAGAUCCAUAGACGGAAAAGUCGUCCAUGAAAACCUCACAAAUCUUUUCACAAAAGUCAGAGAAUAUAGCCAUCAUGCAUCUUUGAAAGGUAGCAGGUGCAUUACAUAAACCAAAAGGCAUACGUCUAUAAGCAAAAGUACCAAAAGGGCAUGUAAAAGUAGUCUUUGAUUGAUCUUUGGCUGACACAGGUAUUUGAGAGAAACCAGUAUAACCAUCUAGAAAGCAAAGUUGUGUAUGUUUGGAUAAUCUUUCUAGCAUUUGAUCGAUAAAAGGUAAGGGGUAAUGAUCCUUUUUAGUAGCCUUAUUUAAUUUGCGGAAAUCAAUUACCAUCCUAUAACCAAUAAUAAUUCUUUGAGGAAUCAAUUCAUCUUUUUCAUUAGGAACAACAGUAAUACCUCCCUCCUUAGGGACACAAUGGACAGGACUUACCCACUUACUAUCAGCAACGGGGUAAAUUAUACCUGCCUCAAGGAGCUUUAGUAUCUCCUUUCUUACCACUUCUUUCAUUUUAGGAUUCAGUCGGCGUUGAUGAUCACGAACUGGUUUAGCAUCUUCUUCCAAAUUAAUUUUAUGUUGGCAUAGAGUGGGACUAAUGACCUUAAGAUCAUCAAGAGUAUACCCAAUAGCAGCACAGUGCUUCUUCAGAAUUUUCAAUAAUCUCUCUUCUUCAUGUUCUGAAAGGUUAGCACUAAUCAUAACAGGGUAUAUCUUUUUCUCAUCAAGAUAAGCAUAUUUAAGAGUAUCCGGUAAAGGUUUAAGCUCAAACACGGGAUCACCCUUGGGUGGAGGAGGAUCUCAUAGGAUUUCAACAGGUAAAUUAUGUUUCAGAAUAGGUUCCUGUUUAAAGAAUACUUCAUCUAAUUCCCUUCGUUCAUUCAUAAACAUAUCAUUUUCAUGGUCUAGCAAACAUUGUUCUAAAGGAUCACUAGGAGGUACGGCAAUAGAGGCAAGACCAAUAAUUUCAUCUUUACUAGGUAAUUCUUCUUCACGAUGUUGUCUACUAAAUUUAGAAAAAUUAAAUUCAUGAGUCAUAUCAUCUAAACCGACAGUAACAACAUCUCUUUUACAAUCUAUGGUAGCAUUAACAGUAUUUAAGAAGGGUCUACCAAAUAUAAUGGGACAGAAGCUAUCUUGUAGGGAACCAAGAACAAGAAAAUCAGCAGGAUAUUUAGUUUUCCCACACAAGACUUCAACAUCUCUAACAAUUCCCAUUGGUGAAAUAGUAUCUCUAUUAGCAAGUUUAAUUGUGACAUCAAUAUCUUCUAACUCAAUAGGUGCAAUGUCAUGCAUAAUUUCAUUGUAUAAGUCAAUAGGUAUUGCACUAGCACUAGCACCCAUAUCACAUAAGCCAUGAUAACAAUGAUCUCCUAUUUUAACAGAAAUAACAGGCAUGCCUAUCACAGGUCUAGGUUUAUCUGUAUCGUGGGGUUUAGCAAUUCUAGCAGUUUCAUCAUAGAAAUAAAUAACAUGCCCAUCUAUAUCAUCAGACAAGAGAUCUUUAACGAUAGCAAUAUUAGGUUCAACUUUAACUUGCUCAGGAGGUGCAUAUGUUUUAAUAUUGCUUUUACGAACCAGAGUUGAAGCUUUAGCAUGAUCCUUUAUCCUAACAGGGAAAGGUGGUUUCUCAACAUAAGAAGUAGGAACAAUAGGAUCAUUAUAAGUAAUGUCUUUUAUUCAACUUUAAUAGGUGCAGCUACUUUUACUUCUAUGGGAGGAUGAUAUUUAAACCACUUCUCCUUGGGGAGAUCAACAUAAGCAGCAAAAGAUUCACAGAAAGAAGCUACUAUCUCAGAGUCAAGUCCAUAUUUAGUGCUAAAUUUACGAAAAAUAUCAGUAUCCAUAAAAGAUUUAACACAAUCAAAACUAGGUGUCAUACCUGACUCCUUACCAUUGUCGAGGUCCCAAUCUUCGGAGUUGCGUUCAAUUCUUUCCAAUAAAUCCCAUUUGAAUUCAAUAGUCUUCAUCAUAAAAGAGCCAGCACAAGAAGUAUCAAUCAUGGUGUGAUUGUUAUCAGAAAGCCGAGCAUAAAAAAUUUGAAUAAUCAUUUCUCUUGAGAGCUCAUGAUUGGGGCAUGAAUAUAACAUUGAUUUAAGCCUCCCCCAAUCUUGAGCGAUGCUUUCUCCUUCGCGAGGCCAAUACAUAUAUAUAUAUAUAUAUAUAUAUAUAUAUAUAUAUAUAUAUAUAAUUGCAAUCACGAUGAACAAGAUGCAUAGGAUAAAACUUUUGAUGAAAUUCCAAUUUCAAUCGUUUGUAGUUCCAAGACUCCCUAUCGUCACAUAGCCUAUACCAUGUUGAUGCAUCUCCCCUCAAAGAUAAAGGGAAGACCUAACAUCUCCGGGUACACCUGCAAGCUUAAAUAAUCCACAAACUUCAUCCACAUAUAUUAGAUGUUCAUCAGGAUGUUUUGUUCCAUCUCCUAAAAAAGGAUUAGCUAGCAGUUUUUCUACCAUACCCAAAGGAAUUUCAAAGCAAGCAUUUUCAUUUUUAGUAGGUUCAGUAGGUUGAGGAGCAACUCUUUGCUCUACUAGUCAGGGUGAAGAUACCCCAAACAAGCCGCUCAGAGGAUUACUUUCCAUAAUAACAAGUGACAGUAAAUUUCAGCACACUAUAUAAAAUUUUCCUUACCAAAUUCCACCUACCAAAGGCGCUUCACUCCCCAGCAACGGUGCCAGAAAAGAGUCUUGAUGACCCACAAGUAUAGGGGAUCUAUCGUAGUCCUUUCGAUAAGUAAGAGUGUCGAACCCAACGAGGAGCAGAAGGAAAUGAUAAGCAGUUUCCAGCAAGGUAUUCUCUGCAAGUAUUGAAAUAAGUGGUAACAGAUAGUUUUGUGAUAGGAUAAUUUGCAACGAGCAACAAGUAACAAAAGUAAAUAAGGUACAUCAAGGUGGCCCAAUCCUUUUUGUAGCAAAGGACAAGCCUGGACAAACUCUUAUAUGAUGUAAAGCGCUCCCGAGGACACAUGGGAAUAUCGUCAAGCUAGUUUUCAUCACGCUCAUAUGAUUCACGUUUGAUACUUUGAUAAUUUGGUAUGCGGGUGGAUCGGUGCUUGGGUACUACCCUUACUUGGAAAAAACAUCCCACUUAUGAUUAACCUCUAUUGCAAGUAUCCGCAAAUACAACAAAAGUAUUAAGGUAAACCUAACCAUAGCAUGAAACAUAUGGAUCCAAAUCAGCCCCUUACGAAGCAAUGCAUAAACUAGGGUUUAAGCUUCUGUCACUCUAGCAACCCAUCAUCUACUUAUUACUUCCCAAUGCCUUCCUCUAGGCCCAAACAAUGGUGAAGUGUCAUGUAGUCGACGUUCACAUAAGACCACUAGAGGAGAGACAACAUACAUCUCAUCAAAAUAUCAAACGAAUACCAAAUUCACAUGACUACUAAUAGCAAGACUUCUCCCAUGUCCUCAGGAACAAAAGUAACUACUCACAAAGCAUAAACAUGUUCAUAAUCAGAGGGGUAUUAAUAUGCAUAUAGGAUCUGAAUAUAUGAUCUUCCACCAAUUAAACCAACUAGCAUCAACUACAAGGAGUAAUUAACACUACUAGGAACCUACAAGCACCAAUCCCGGACUUGGAGACAAGAAUUGGAUACAAGAGAUGAACUAGCGUUUUGAGAUGAGAUGGUGUUGAUGAAGAUGUUGAUGGAGAUUGCCCUCUCCCGAUGACAGGAGCAUUGGUGAUGACGAUGGCGAUGAUUUCCCCCUCCGGGAGGGAAGUUUCCCCGAUAGAACAGCCCCGCCAGAACCCUAGAUUGGCUCCGCCAAGGUUCUGCCUCGUGGCGGCGGAGUUUCGUCCGAGAAGGUGGCUUAUGAUUUUGUCCCAUCGAAAGAGUCCAUAUAGCAGAAGAUGGUCACCAGAGGGCCAUCAGGGGGCCCACGAGGUAGGGGGGCGCGCCCAGGGGGUAGGGCGCGCCCCCCACCCUCGUGGGCAGGGUGUGCCCCCCUGGUGAAGUUCUUGUGCUCAAUGUUUUUAUAUAUUUGGAAAACAUCAUCCGUGAAGUUUCAGGACUUUUGGAGCUCUGCAGAAUAGGUCUCUAAUAUUUUCUCCUUUUCCAGCCAGAAUCCCAGCUACCGGCAUUCUCCCUCUUUAUGUAAACCUUGUAAAAUAAGAGAGAAUAGGCAUAAGCAUUGUGACACAAUGUGUAAUAACAACCCAUAAUGCAAUAAAUAUUGAUAUAAAAGCAUGAUGCAAAAUGGACGUAUCAACCCCCUUUAACAGUACGGUGUUUCCUAUGACUCAAGAAAGAGAAAAUGAAACUACGAAAACAAAAGUCUUCACACUUCAUGUUCCUUGUAUGAAUAACAAGUCUUCACGGUCACACCAAUUUCUUCACUUUCAAAGUCUUCAGAAAGUCUUCAGAAAUCCAAAGUCUUCAGUCGAAGACAUUCUUUUUUAGGGGUUGACUUUCUCUGUAAAUAUCAAACUCCUCAUAGACUUAUAGACCUGUGUACACUCACAAACGCAUUAGUCCCUUAACCUAUAAGUGUUCAAUACAUCAAAAUCACUAAGAGGCACUAGAUGCACUUACAAUCUCCCCCUUUUUGGUGAUUGAUGACAAUAUAGGUUAAGUUUUCAACGGGGAUAAACAUAUGAAGUGUAAAUACUGAUAUUGAGUAAUUUGAUUGCAAAAUAUAGAAGAACUCCCCCUGAAGAUGUGCAUAGUGAGGAAUUUGCUUUUGAAGCAAUGCACAUUUGAAGAGUUGAAUCAUGGAGAUCUCCCCCUAUAUCUUGUAAUUCAUACAUGCAUUUUAACAUAUGAUAUGAAGAAUUUGAAAUGCAUGAUGAAAUAUGGUGACUGGUGUGGCUCACAUGCGUGCAUUAACAUAUAUGAGGAAAUAGCAUGCAGAAGAACAUUGCAACAAUAUCAGUCCACCGUCGGGUUUAAGUUUACAACUCGAUACAAUAAAUCUUCAGAAGAACAGGAGUUGUAACUUAGAAAAAAUGCCCAUAUAUAGAGACCCGGUUGAAGACUAACUCAAAUUUCUCCCCCUUUGCCAUCAAAUGACCAAAAGGGAUGAACAGUGAGGACUAACGCCCCUGAAGAAUAUCAUCACUGAGUCGAUGAAGGAGCGCCAGCAUUGUUGGGGUCGGUUGUUGAGGUAGGGCCUGCCACAUUGUCUUCCAAAUCUUCAUGCUCACCAGUCACGCGCGAUGAAGAAUAUGAGCUGGCUACCAAGGAAGGAACUUUGGUUUUCUUGAAUUUCUUCGCUGGUGGUUGAGACUAACGGUGUCCUGGACUAGGGGGUACUCACCACAUCGUCUCCCGACUAGGUGGAUCGGGUCGAGGACCCUCAUGGCGGCUCACUCAUGGGCCACUUCGGGCAGCCCAUACCGCAUACAAGGAGUAUUCCACAAGACUUGGUGAUCAAGGCAAGGACUCCUCUCCACCAACGUAUCCGGCUAGGACUCUUGUUAUCCUAGGCCUCUGGUGCAUUAUAUAAGCCAAGGCCAGGCUAGUCGAUGGAUUAUGAGGACAAUCAUUACCAUAGUCAUACAGGCUAGGCUUUUAGGGUUUAGCCAUCUUGAUCUUAUGGUAGAUCAACUCUUGUAAUACUCAUAUUCAUCAAUAUCAAUCAAGCAGGAAGUAGGGUAUUACCUCCGUAGAGAGGGCCCGAACCUGGGUAAACAUCGUGUCCCCUGUCUCCUAUUACCAUCGACCUUAGACACACAGUUCAGGACCCCCUAUUCGAGAUCCGCCGGUUUUGACACCGACAUUGGUGCUUUCAUUAAGAGUUUCACUGUAUAAUCGGCAAAGGAUCAAUGGCUCAACUGCAGAUCAACUACAAUGUCGGCAUCUUCGUCGCCGGCUCGACUGGUCACCUUGGCUUGACCGAGCACUACACCCUAUCUUUGAUCGUCAUCUUCAGAUGAGGGUCUUCAUCAACAUCAACUCCGAUCUAUAUCAUGAGCAUGGAGGAAUCAUCCAUGGAGCUCGGGGGCUCAACGUCAACAUUGCCCUCGGACGACCGUGCUGUUUUCUGGACAGCGAACUUGUAUCCGCCGCCACCGCCUCCUCGAGUGUCGUUUUAAUGAUUGCUUCGAUGGAAUUGUGCAGAAUUGAGUCUACAACAACCCUGGAAAAUUUUAUCGAGUUCCGAUGGAGGAAUCUCUAGCGAUCUACGAUGUACCAGAGCCGGGUCAAAUCUGGACGGAAAUCUGGACGAGUUUAGGGCGUGAUCAUCAGAGCCCAGUUCGGAGGUCCUUUGGAAGAUCCAACCGUUCAUCUACUGCAGAAUUCCCAUAUCUACGAUCCCUCAAAAUUUUAGCUUGAUCCGACCGUCCAAACUUCGGGAAUCUGCCGAUUAGUGCAUCACUUUUCAGAUUUGUUUUCUGCACGAGAACGAAUCCGACCCGAGUUCAUCUUUUUUAUGAACGGGAUUUCGCACAUACUUUUUGAAGGAAGUUUUGUAUGGGGUAUUGUGUUUUGUUCCCAAACACAUCCCGCUAAAUUUAAAGUAUUUUCCAAUAUGAUCUUCAUCAUCGUGCCGGUGUCAAACCAGCUCGACAAUGUUGCUCUAUGGCUGCCGACCUGCGCUAGACACGUCGUCGCUUUGUUGAGCUGAGAUCAACUUCUUCAGAUCAUCUCUGCGAGCCGAACAAGAGUUCGGCAUCGCGCAGGAUAAAUCAUCACCAACAUCGCUGCCCCACAGAUUACACGGAGCAGGCACACCGGCAUCGCCGCACGGUCACUUCAUCAAGCCGGCAUUGACCAUGUCACGAGCUACGACCUGCAUCGGCAUGGCCGCACUGUUGCUUCUUCAAGCCGAUGUCCAUCACACCGACCUACUUCAACACGUUGGCUAGACCGGGGGCUCUGCUAUUUCUUCGUCAACCUACUCCGGAGACUUCGGCGUCACCAGCCGACCAACUUCGAUACGUUAGCUGGACCGGGGGCUUUGCCUCGGCGAGACAAUCUUUGCCAGCAUCACCAUGCCGUCGCUUCAUCACCCAUCAGGCAAUGGGUAUGCGGAUCGAGUCCCAGUUUUGGGAGUAAGCUUUCUUCGGACUGCUACAACAAAUAAACCAGGUGCUAUUAAUCCUAGCAAUUUUUGUUUGUUUGAGUUUAUCUUUUCCAAGGAAUUAUUACUCUGGUUUGUUUCAUCAUCUGUACACAGGUCUAUCAAAUGGUGGCCGCAUUAACGACGGUCGCGUGGUGGUUCGGUCAGUUUCCGUACAUAGUUCGGCGAACGCCGCAUCCGGAGCUCGGACCGACCUGCUAAUUCGGCUUUGCCACGCCUUUACCGCAUCAUGCCGACGCCCUGCAUCGAUAUUGACUUUGGCGCCAGGCCACAUAUAUUUAAAUAAAUUAUUUUUGCGAAAAGCAAUUACGCAAGGAUUUUAUAUGUGUAGUCACGCGGUUACUUCGGCAAGCCAACGUCAUCGUCCCAAUUGGCAUAAAUCGGCUCGCAUGAUCAUCUUAUUGGUUGAAUUGCCAUACCGACAUGUUUGGUUGCCUCGGGGACUUCGGCAUCAUCAAGAGGGUCCUACCUCAUCGGGUGUUUGGCGCAUGGGCCAUAUUUCUUUUAUUACUCACUUUGCAUGAAUUAUUAAUCAUGCAACCUUUUUUAUUACUGAUAUCUCCGGCUUGCACUAUCUUUUGUGCACAUGUAAAUGAUCCGGAUCGGGCAUCGCUGUCACCUCGGUUGGACCGGGGGCUUCGUCAUCACUUCAUUAACCCAUGCCGGUGAGUUUGGCGUCACUCUGCCAGCAUGCAUUGGCGGAGCCAUGUCACUACCUCGGAGUGCCUAACUCCUUGCUCGGACACCUCGGGCUUGGAGGUUGGGACCUCGGCCAUGCCGAGGACUGCGAACCUUGUCGGAUCUAUCACAGAUCAAUGGGCGUCUUCGUCCCGCCACAAGCCCGAAUCGCGUCAUCAACACCGAGCACAUUAACCAGCUAAGUCACUUUCAUGCUAAAAAACUUUCUGUUUUAAAUUUUGUUCGGUUCGACCAAGCAUUAUAAUUUUUGGCAAAAGUUGUUUGUGACAAAAUUCCUUGUCAAAACUUUGUUUGUGACACACAAAUUCAAAUACCCCGUUUAUUUAGGGGAUUCCUUUAUGAAGCCUCUCCUCUUGCAUAUGAUUAUACUUGUACGGCUUCGUUCCUUGUCCGUGUAUUACGCCACAAUAUGCACCAUGUUGACUUAAGUGUUUCGCAAGCUGGGUUGCCUGGCUCCUGUGCUUACCCUUACGUUCCCGAUUGUUCGGCUAGGUGGUAAAGGGAGCACCUCUGUGAUUGUUACUACCGGGUCAUCCGAGUUAGUACCUCAGACUGGGUGAAGCCGAAAGCUAGCGCUCUUAUUGUUUUCAAUUAUGGUCGGCACACAACGGAACUCAUGAGUACAAAAAAUCUGUUGCACAAGUCUCAUAGUAACAAUGAUCAACCAAAGAAAGGUAUCGGUGGGGGUACUAUUUUCUUCGAGGAUGCUUCUUACACUUUGUUAGUAAUAUAGCAUUAAGUUCCCUGGGCGUGCUUUGUCUGUUACAGCCUUAUGGCCUGAUUGCCAGGUUAUCGGAAACAUCUCGAUAUUCUCAACAGGUGGAGUACAUAACACUUUUCGGCCCUUGACCAAAGAGGGAGAAGCCAACGGUCGGUUAAGACGUGUUUAAAGUUUGAGUGAACAUAGAUUUGAUAUAAAUACUUCAGUACAUACAAUCAUUAUACAUAAAAUUCCCUUACCCAAGUCACUUGGGGGCUCUUAAAAUUUAUAUGUUUUCUUCUUGGUCAUUGCAAAGUCUUUUUCUAAACUAACCUCGGAGAAGUACUCCACCUUUGGGAUAAGGAUCUUGAAGCCGUAGGCGGACCCGCGUGAAGUCUCAAGAUCGGAUGUGGCAUGUUAAAGCACGAUAGAAGCACAAUUUUUUUCGAAUUUUCGAAUUUGCACCAAACACUUGAUCUUGUUUGGACGUCAAGUUUUUACUGACAUUUUUUGGUUUUCCAAGCUUAUGGCACUUUUAAACUAUUUGUGUGUUUCCAGCAUAAGUCUCGCAGUGCAACGUCGGACACCUUUAGAGAUUCGGCAAAAACAUUCUCGGAUAUUGCUAUAUAUGCAUCGGUUUCAAAUUGUGUCUUCGGUCAAAUAGUUGGGUUGCUUGGCUCCUGUGCUUGCCUCCUAUGUUUGUCUUUGUUCGGCUAGGUGUGCAAAGGGAGAAGCACCUCGAUUGUAGUUCCAGCUCGCAUGGUUAAGCACCUUAGUGGAGAAAGCCGAAAACUGACUGUCACAAUAAGCGUAAACUAGUCAGCGAUCCGAUGACUAUGUUAAAUGACUGGCCGUUCAUAACAUUGGCCGAAGUGUUUACGACUUGACCUCGGCUGUCGCCGAACACUAACCGGGGGCUCGUAGCCAGAUUCCCCAGUUUAAAGCUCCUAUGACUAAGUGAAAGUUAUAAAUCUCGCAUAUCUGAUUGCCUCGUUUCUGCUAACACAACCGCCUUCGGGCACCGAGACGUUGGCUAAGGGUUGUCUUGUUAUUGCGGAGACACCCUGUGUAGUAUUUACAAAGGGGUAGAAGCCGACGAUGGGCCACUUUCAACUGAUAAACGGUUGCAACGGAGUCAAAAUUAACAUAUCAUCGUCAUUUGUAUUUAAUAUACAAGGGCUGCCUUCCAUAAACAUCAUUAUAAAGCCAUAAAUAUGCAUCAAUUUGACUUAAGAUUUUUGCCAAGCUGGGUUGCUGGCUCCUGUGCUUACCCCUAUGUUCCCGAUUGCUCGGCUAGGCGGUAAAGGGAGCACCUCUGUGAUUGUUACUACCGGGUCAUCCGAGUUAGUACCUCAGAUAGGGUGAAGCCGAAAGCUAGCGAUCUUAAAGGAUCACAUUGGUCGGCAAUGACGGAAGUGAAAAUUUUGGUUCAUUAAUACCAUAGAGUUUGGGAACUUUCCCCGAACUAAAUCCUCAAUAUUUUCCUCCCACAUUGACCGGAGGUGAGGUUUCAUGAUCAUGAUAAGCAUGACGACCCAAAGAAAGGAACCGAUAGUGGGACUAUUUUCCUUGGAAGAUGUUUCUUAAUAUAACAUAUCUCUCCGCGUACCUUUGUUUAUCAAACCGUAUGACCGGAUUGCCUUGUUUGUUGUAAAUCUUUGCUCUCAUGAAGGCUUUAUAAAGAUGGACAAACACUCCCCGGCUGCUGGCCGAGGAGGUGGAAGCCGAUGGUCGGUCAACAAAUUUUUGUACAAUGCGGAUCCGAGCAUUAAUGAUGUAAAAUACUUGGAUACAUAGGAUCAUAAAUUGUGAGUAAAGUCAAUUUAUUGCAGCUCAUCUUUUAAAUACCAAGCGAGCAACUUACAUAAAGCUCUCCUAAAUCCCAAGUGGCAUAGAUUUCCUAUCUAUUAAGCCCCUUGGGGCCAACCUUGGCGAGCCCAGCUUUCGCUGGCUCUAGCUCCUUUAAGAUAUCUUUAUUCUCUUUUCGAGAAGUUUGUGUUAAACACAACAAUUUUUUUUCACACGGAUGCCAAUCCUUAAUUCGGCCACCCGUGCCCACAUUAAGGCUCGGGGGCUACUGGGCUUUGCGCUCAUUAUUUAUAAAUAUUAAAGGGGCACAUCGAUCCUCUGAUCUGGUGUUGCCACCCGACCAGUGUCUUGGGGGCUACUGUGUUGCCUGUUCAGUGCAGAAAAUUCAAAGUGCUUAGUGUUCGGCUUGACCGAACUAUGGGCAAACGCGUCUUCGGACAACAAUAGGUACCAUCUGGACCUAUCUGGCAUCAAGCUGAUAUAUUGCGGCAACUUAUCAAAACCCUCUCUCAAGGGCCCGUUCACCGAUCACUAUUAUCUCUAAUAUAUUACAAUGCGUUUCUAUUCCUACGUAUGCUGCCGAGCUAGGAGUUGAUCCUCACGCCGAUUUCGCAAAUCAACCUGAGUCCCAGGGGCUACCAGGAUCAUCAAUUUUAUGUUUUCCUUCAGGUGCACCUCGGGUUUAGACCGACACACACCUUGAGGGCUACUGGAUAUACAUAUACUGGCUAUAUAUCUCGGCAGAGAGUAAAUUGCACCAAUCAAAAAUAUUCACAAAAAUCAGCCCACGAUCGGGGUGGUGCACCACCUCAGAAGCAGUCUGGCAUAAAGCUCGGGAGCCAGUGGCUGGCUCCAUAGAGGGCAUUUCCGGCAUUAAGCUCGUAUGAAUUCGUUCAAUCUUUUAAAAGACCGAGGUAGUUUACGACACCUCGGACGUUGACCAUCAUUGGAGCUCGGAAGUGGUCCGGCAUAAGCCUAGUUUCGAAUGUCUCGUUCCAUAGAGAACUUUUGAGCGUUAAACUCGAAUAACCUCCUUCAAACUUUUUCAAGCCAAGGUGAUCUAUGACACCUCGGAUAUAGUCCGACAUUGGAGCUCGGAUAUAGUCCGACAUUGGUGCUUGGCUGCAAAAGAUAUCUCGAAUGCAGUCCGGCGUUGGAGCUUAGAUGCAAGAGGACACCGUCGCAUGGGAACAACUUCAAACCCGAGGUGUGGCGUAAAAAAUAAUCUAAGGCAUUGAUAAAGGCCGAGAACUUAAAGGGGCUCCUCGGAUACCUGAUGUGUAAACCCUUCGGAUUCACUUCGGCGAUCCUCAAGAUCGAAGACGAGAAGAUUUGUUGAACCAAUUUUCAAGACCGACGACCGAAGAUGAAGAACAAUUCGGAAGGAUCGAGGAGCAUCCCCAGCUUGAAUACUGGUUCAGGGGGCUACUGACGGUGUCUUGGACUAGGGGGUACUCACCACAUCAUCUCCCAACCAGGUGGAUUGGGCCGAGGACCCCCAUGGCGGUUCACUCAUGGGCCACUUCGGGCAGCCCAUGCCGCAUACAAGGAGUAUUCCACAAGACUUGGUGAUCAAGACAAGGAAUCCUCUCCACCAACGUAUUCGGCUAGGAAUCUUGUUAUCCUAGGCCUUUGGUGCAUUAUAUAAGCCAAGGCCAGGCUAGUCGAUAGAUUAGGAGGACAGUCAUUACCAUAGUCAUACAGGCUAGGCUUUUAGGGUUUAGCCAUCUCGAUCUCGUGGUAGAUCAAGUCUUGUAAUACUCAUAUUCACCAAGAUCAAUAAAGCAGGAAGUAGGGUAUUACCUCCAUAGAGAGGGCCCGAACCUGGGUAAACAUCGUGUCCCCUGUCUCCUGUUACCAUCGACCUUAGACGGACAGUUCGGGACCCCCUACCCGAGAUCCGUCGGUUUUGACACCAACAGAGACCAUUCAAAGUCCUGCUUGAAACCCAUUUGCUUCAGAUCUUCUUCACCAUAGAGAUGAGACAGAACAACCUUGGUGCGAUUGAAUACUUCAUGGAGGUAGAAGUGGUUCUUCUUCACUGCAUUGUGUGUAGCAGUCAUGUUGUGAAGAAUAGAACCAAACUGACGCUUAACCCAUUUGUGGUUGCGAUCGACCUUCUGGUGAAGACUAAGGAGAAGCUCACGAUCAGUCAUCACCCUUGGAGUUGUGCCUUGAGGAUUUUGCUUUGAGGCAUUGGCCGCAGUGUCAUGAGUGGCGGAGUCAUCAUUGGUGGAAUAAGAUGCAGCUUUGCAUAACUGACCAUCCAAUGGACAAAUGCCUUCAUCAAUAAUAGCAGUAGCCUUGCCCUUUUCAUCAGCUGAGGAAAAUGUCCGCUUGAGGACUUCUAUUGGGGGCAAGUAACUGACGUGAUUCUACAAAUCAGCCUUGUAGUUGAUUGAAGACCUUGAUCUGAGGAAUCUCAUAAUCCCGGGAGCGUAAGGCUUCAACUCAAAAGGGGACAAAGCUGCAUUUGCUAGAGUCCUCAUGAAGAAAUCAUGGUAGUUGACAGGAAUGCCAUGAAUGAGGUUGAAUAGCAGAUUCUUCAUGAUACCAACGACCUCUUCUUCAUUAGAGUCGUGGCCCUUGAUUGGACUCAUAGUCUUGGUCAAGAUGCGAUAUACAGUCUGUGGCACAUACAACAAUUCCUUCACGUGGAAUUUGGUUCUUGAGGCUUGACCGGGCUUCAGCGGCUUCAUCGACACUUGCAUAUAGUGGUCAGUAAGUUCAAGUUCAUGAUAUAUACAAUGUGCACCUUCAAGGGGAGGACUGACAGGCAGGGCAUGAAGCAAUUCAGAGGCCGGUGCUUUGAAGUGAGUAUUCUAUGUCAUCCAGUCCAAUACCCAAGAGUUGACAUCUUCAGCAUUUCCUGUGAUGUGCAGCGUUGCAUAGAACUAAAGAAUUAGUUCUUCAUUCCAAUCACAUAUAUCGGUGCAUAAGUUGAGAAGUCCAACAUCAUGAAGAACGCUAAGGACUGGCAUGAAGCAAGGUAGUGAUUCCAUGUCCACAUGAGGAAUAUUUGCAUGAUCAAAUACUUUGUCCUUAUCGAAAAGUAGUGAAGAAUAAAAGUUGGCUUGGCUUGCAGUCCAGAAACGCUUCCUUCUAAGACGAGCAGAGUCAUAUGGGUUGUAAUCUGUGAAGAAUACAUGCUCAUGGAAGAAGUCAACAACCUUGAAUUUUUGCUUCUUGGAGAAGGGAUUCUUCAACUUGAGCUGAGGAGUGUCAGUCAAGGUCAUCACAGCCUCAGGAAUCACGUUCUCCGGAACCACGAGCUGAGGUAUUUUAGUUUUAGUUUCAGUUGCAGCCUGGUUCUUCAUUUCUUCAUCAAUAUUUUCAUCGGCACUAGUGGCUGGAAUUGCUUCAAUAGCAUUUUCAUCAGCACUAGUGGCUGGAAUUGCUUCAAUAGCAUUUUCAUCAGCACUAGUGGCUGGAAUUGCUUCAGGGAGACAAGGUUCUUCAGAGCCCAUAAGAACUUCAGAGUGCACAGGGGACUAAGGGAUUUGUUUUAGUGGGGUGAAGAGCGGAGAGUUGGGGUGCUGAUUAUCCCAAUAGUCAUCAUUCAGCACUGGAGUGGAGCACCCAAUAUCCACAUCUUCAUCUUCUUCAUUUAAUUCUUCGACGCCUGCCUCUUCAGCUGUGAACUAAGGCAUAGGCGAUGAGAUGAUUGGAGUUGAAGGGAUAUCAUCCGCUUCAAUUUCUUCAUCCAUAUGCUCUGUAGAAGCGGCAGAAGGAACAUCUUCAUCCGAUCCGCUUGGGAUCACAUAGUCUUCACCAAAAGGAACGAGUUCCUUUGAUGACAUGAUUGAAACCGGAAUAGCAUCAAUCGGAUUCUCAAAAGAGCUUGUCAAUUUCUUCAUCUUAUUUGGUGCUGAAGACUGAGAUGAAGUAGGUGCUUUCCUUUUCUUCACUGCUGCUCGCUCCGCAGCUUUGGUUUUCUUCGCUUCUGAUGCAGAAGCAAGAACUGUGCUUAUUGUUGGUGCAGGAGGAGCAGAGGAAAUAGGUUCAGUUUCCUUAGGUGCAACUGAUGUUUUCAUCAUUGAGGUUUUUGAUCUCCGUCUGAGCAGCAAUGAGUUCAUCAGUGGACAUUUUCACAAUGUUCUUUUUCAGAAGUCGCCCCUUCUUGUAUUAAGCUUUCUUCAGCUGCAUGGCCUUCUCAAACUUCCAUUUUUCUUCGCCUAUGAAGGCGGUCAGCAUGUGAUUUUGGCCAGGAGUCAGCAUGAAGUCUGGCAUAGGAGUGUUGGGGUCUUUGUGCCAGAGAUCAAUGUAUUCAAGGAUCAACUUUGGGUCCAGUAGGGGAGGAACUUCACUUCCUUUGGCUCUAGUGGCCCUCUGCUCUCUGUCUCUGAUGAUUUCCGCGAGUUCAUCAUCAUCAACUUCGACAUCAGAGGACGAUACUUGAAAGGCGACCUGCUUCUUUUGAGGACUGGGUCUAGUGCCUCGUCCAGCAGUGGCCUUGGUCUUCAGCAAUGCGGGGCCAGUUGAGGAAUGCAGAGGAGCUAAAGAACUUGCCGAGGCUCCUGAGGCAAUGGAUUUUCCUGUGGUCCUUUGGCACGAGGCGAGAUGCACAGGUGCUGAGGACUUUUCCGGAGGAGCUGAGGGUUUUGGAACUCGAGGAACUGGGGCAGCUUGAGGAUUUGGCCGUGAGGGCUUAGCAGAAGAGCUUGGCCGUGAGGGCAUUGAAGAAGAGGUAUCGGGUUUAUGUGCGAGCUUCUUUGGCAUAGCCUUCUUAGGCUUGCUAGCAUAGGCCUCAACAGUGGCAACAGCAAGAGAGUCUUCAUUGAAUUUCUUCACUGCCUCUUUUGCUACUUUGGCCAACUUAGCUUGACGCUUGGCCCAUUUAGCAGGAAAUUCCUCACCUUGUCUGAUGCUUGAGGGAUCAGCAACUUGGUCUGGUGCCAAGGGAGGUCUUGGGCAUGGAGGGUUUACAACGAAUUUUUUCAUGUACUUGGGAGUCACAUAUCUGUACUCCCUCCAUUCUCUGGCCCAUCUCCUCUCUAUUUUCUAAAUGUGCACUUUGCGCUCAUUCUUCAUUUCUUUUCCAUGAAUUGCCUCAUCUGGAGUGCAAUACCCUGCAUAGAUGUCUUUAGGGAUUUCAAAUGCAGUGUUGACUUCCAACUUAUUUCCUCCCUUCUGAGGUUUAUUACCAUCAGCCAUUUUCUUUAGUUGAGGAUUUUGAACAGUUGAGUUCUCUAAAGAGGUAUGCGGUUUUUCUUUGAGGAACGCUGCAAAUGAGUUAAGUUGAUGAGAACCUAGUGAUUCAGCAGCAGACAUGUGUACCUGUGAACAGAGUAUAGGUGCGAAGAAUUUGGAGAGGUCAUAUGCGUUCUUAGAAGUUUUUGCAAAAAGAACAAGUUUGAGGAAUUUGACCAGAUGUGUCUUGAGGAAUUUCACUAAGCGUUCUUUGACUUAGGUUCCGGAGUUGUGUAGAUUGAAAACCCACACAAUUGAGGAGUCUUGAAGAAAAAACAUGGCUUAGGAAACAGAUCAAGAACAGAUGUUUAUGUGAGGUGUUUAGAGUGUGAAGAUUAAAGAAUAAACACCUUUUGAAGAUUUUGACGAAAUCACUAGAAUCAAUAAGGGUAGUAAAAGUAACUUUUAAUUACCCUUGAUGAAGAACACGACGAACUAGGAAUGUGGAUUGAAAGUUCAUCGGUCUAUAUCUUCCACGCCCUAACUUGGUAGAGGAAGACGGCUACGGCGGUGGCGGAGUGAAGGAAUCAACGGCCGGUGUGAAUACGAAAAUGAUGAGGUCGAGGUGGCGAAGCUCUUCCUCACCGGCGACGAUGAAGUAGCGACGGUGCUAGGUUUUGAUAGCUCGAGCUAGGGAGUGAAGUCGAGCGGAGUAAAAACAAGCUGAGGAAGGGAAGGGGUAUAUAUAGCCACGGUGAAAAACUGCUCGUUCGAGGAAAAUGGACGAACGUGCCCCUGACCUUUCUCAUCUGUGUGACAUGUGUCACCCACGUAAGGUGAGGUGGAGAACGUGUGAGAUCAUGGGUGAAUAGAUAAGUAUUGUCGUGGAAUGUGGAACGGUUUGAGCGGCAAAAACCGAAAAUUCAGAUACGAAAAUUUUAAUGUUUCGUUCACAAAUUUGUCAGCUGACAAGGACAUAGUGAAGAUUAUGAACGGGUUUCAAAUAGAACGGACAUGAGGAAUCUGUGAACAGACUGGGUUGAGUUUAGCAUAGAGGGGGAAGGGUCCGAUCACAUUCACUUAGAAAAAGCUUGAAGAAAUAACAAUAAGUGAAUGCUGUAGAGGACAUAAACUCAUAUAUUUAUAUAGCCAAUGAAGAAAAACGACGGAAACAGUGAAGACAUUGCAAAGUUGAAGAAUUUGAACAACUGAGGAAUUUCAAAAUGAAGAAAACUCAAAUUGAAUAUUUUCAACUUUUGUUGGUGGCGUGACCCACCGUAUAAGAAUGAUGAUUUCAAACACCGCGUACAAUUAUCGUAGGGCUUUGAGAAUCAAAUUCUUCACACUUAGAGGGUUGGUCUUCAUUGAUUGAAUAAAAACGUUACUUCGUGUGUUGCACAUCUAAGUCAUCAAUUUUGCAUAAGUGUUAGGAUGUGUGUCCUUUUCAAAGGACAUUCAAAGAUUCUAAGAUAUGUAGCUCACACCACAACUUGCUAAAUCUCUUCUCAUCCAAGGGCUUUGUGAAGAUAUUGGCUAGCUGUUCUUUAGUCUUCACGUGCUCAAUGGAGAUGUCUCCCUUCAACACAUGAUCACGAAGAAAAUGAUGACGGAUCUGAAUGUGCUUUGUCUUUGAGUGCUGAACUGGGUUAUGAGCAAUCUUGAUGGCACUCUCAUUGUCACAAUAGAGUGGCACAUUCUUCACAUUGAUGCCGUAGUCCUUGAGAGUUUGCUUCAUGCAUAGCAAUUGAGCACAACACGAUCCAGUAGCAAUGUACUCAGCUUUAGCAGUAGAGAGUGAUACGCGGUUCUGUUUCUUCGAAGACCAGCAGACCAAGGAUCGUUCGAGGAAAUGGCAUGUGCCUGAUGUUGACUUGUGGUCCACACGAUCACCAGCAUAGUCAGAGUCUGAAUAUCCAAUGAGAUCAAAAGUCGAGCCCUUCGGAUACCAUAACCCAAGUGUUUGAGUGUGAGCUAGACAUCGAAGAAUAUGCUUCACAGCCUUAUGGUGUGAUUCCUUUGGUGUAGCUUCAAAACAGGCUGCAAACACUAAGCAUAAUAUCUGGCCUAGAUGCACAUAAAUACAAUAAAGAACCAAUCAUGGAGCGGUAUACCUUUUGAUCGAAGUCAAUACCGUUUUCAUCAGUGCAAAGAUGGCCAUUUGUGGGCAUAGGGAUUUUGACGCCUUUGCAAUCUUGCAUGCCGAAUUUCCACAAUACAUCCUUGAGGUAUUUUCCUGAGAUAUGAAUAUGCCAUUGUGUUGUUGACGAAUCUGAAGACCUAAGAAGAAUUUCAAUUCUCCCAUCAGGGACAUUUGAUAUUCUUCACUCAUCAUAUAGGCAAAUUAAUCACUAUAACAUUGGUCAGUACAGCCAAAGAUAAUAUCAUCAACAUAUAUUUGGCAGACAAACAAUUCACCAUCAUAAGAUUUAGUGAAAAGAGUAGGGUUGAGUGAACCGGGUUUGAAGCCUUUCUUCAUAAGGAAUUCCUUCAAAGUAUCAUACCAUGCCUGUGGGGCUUGCUUGAGGCCAUAGAGGGCCUUAUUGAGUCUGAAGACUUUGUCAGGAUUCUUUGGAUCUUCAAAACCUGGGGGUUGAGCAACAUAUACUUCUUCCUCAAGCUUACCAUUGAGGAAUGCACUGUUCACAUCCAUUUGAUAUAAAGUGAUAUCAUGAUGGUUAGCAUAAGCAAGUAAUAUGCGAAUAGCCUCAAGUCUAGCAAUAGGUGCAAAAGUUUCAUCGAAAUCAAUUCCUUCAACCUGUGUAUAGCCUUGAGCUACAAGUUGUGCCUUAUUCCUUACCACAAGGCCAUUUUCGUCUUGCUUGUUGCGAUAGAUCCAUUUUGUGCCAAUGAUAUUGUGCUUGCCAGGAUUUGGACGUUUGACCAGUUCCCAGACGUUGUUGAGCUCGAACUGAUGUAAUUCUUCUUGCAUGGCCUGAAUCCACUCAGGCUCCAGAAAUGCUUCAUCUACCUUAGUGGGCUCUAUGAUAGAGACAAAAGCAUAGUUCCCACAAAAGUUAGAUAAAUGUGAAGCUUUUGAGCGUGUGAGAGGACCUGGUGCGUUGAUGUCAUUGAUGAUCUUUUCAACUUGCACUUCUUUUGCAAUGCGAGGGUGAGCUGGUUAUCGUUGAUGAAUUUGAUUAGCAUUUUCUUCAGUAUUUUCUUCAGGUGCAUUAGCUCGAUGUUCUUCAUGUUCUGGAAUGAAUUCUUCAGCGGAUUCUUCAGUAGGAAUGACAUCCUCAGUAGCCUUGAACUUGAUAGUUUCCUCAGGUGCUGGUUCAUCUAUCACAGUAGGUAGGUGCUCUAUUGGGUUUCUUAUCAGUGAGGAGUUCAUAGGCAGUCUUCUUGAAGAAUUUGUGAAGAUAUACUCUGUUGAUGAUGUGGCAUGCAAUAUCAAUUGCAUCAAUCCAGAAACGACGAGGUGUCUUGUAUUCAUCAAGCAUAGUGCGAGCCAUCUCAACAGGAGUUCUGUUCUUGCGCUCCACGACGCCGUUGUGCUGAGGAGUAUAAGGAGCAGAUAACUCAUGAGUAAUACCAAGUUCAUCAAGAUAGUCAUCAAGACCAGAAUUCUUGAACUCAAUUCCAUUGUCACUUAUGAUGUGCUUGAUCUUCACACCAAAGUUGGUUGAAGCCCUCGAGGAAAAUCGCUUGAAGACUUCCUGCACUUCAUGUUUGUAAGUAACAAUGUGUACCCAUGUGUAUCGAGAGUAAUCAUCAACAAUAACAAAGCCAUAUAGAGAUGCAUCAUUUGUAACAGCAGAAUAAUGAUUAGGGCCAAAAAGAUCCAUAUGAAGCAAUUCAAACGAUCGAGUGGUAGUCAUGAUUGUCUUCGCUGGAUGCUUGGCCUUGGUCAUCUUUCCAGCUUCACAGGCUCCGCAUAAGUGAUCCGUGAGGAAUUUGACAUUCUCAAUGCCAAUGACAUGCUUCUUCUUCGCAAGCAUGUGCAAAUUCCUCAUGCCUGCAUGACCAAGUUGUCGAUGCCAGAGCUAGCCUUCUGAAGCUUUUGCAAGUAGGCACACAGCUGGUUGUGGUCCUGUAGAGAAAUCAACAAUAUACAAGUCUCCUCUCCUAAAGCCUUCGAAGACUUCGGAAUUGUCAGCUUCCAUAAGCACAACACAAUGGUACUUGCCAAAGACAACAACCAUAUCAAGAUCACAAAGCAUUGAGACAGACAUGAGGUUGUAUCCUAAGGACUCGACAAGCAUGACUUUUUCCAUGUGUCUAUCCUUUGUGAUCGCAACCUUACCUAGACCCAAUACCCGACUUUUGCCUUUUUCAGCAAAGAUGAUAUGCUUCAGAUGCGAUGGAGAUAAUGGGGCAUCCAUUAAUAGAUUCUUGUCACCAGUCAUGUGAUUUGUACAUCCACUAUCGAGGACCCACUCAGUGGCUUUGGGUUGAUCAUCCUGCAGAUGAAUUAGUGCAGCUUACGAACUCAUAUACUUCAUCAAUGAAGAAUAUGACAUCAAAUCAUCAGAUCAAUUUCAUCAAGCAAUAGAACAGAUAAAGCAGUAUGAGGACGUGAGAAAUGAGAGUUCAUUUCUUCAUGGUUAGCCUACGUCCUAUCAGGCACACUCAGGUCUCCAGCAAAUUCUUCAGACGAUUACAUACGUCUGGAGACCCGACCCUGCAGAAGAAAUUAGUUCUUUUUCUUCACCACCCACAUCUGAAGGGGUGGCAAAGAGUUCAUCACUCUGCGAGCUUCAUACGAGAAAGGUGGCAUAGAAGCCAGUCCAUUUUGUUUCACAUAAGAGGGGUUAGGAUAAGCAUAUGAAUAAGCAGAGUAAUUCUUCAAGGACUUAUGAACAUAAUGAUUAGAAGAAUAAGGCUCAUGUUCAGCCCUUAGCUCUUCCCUGCGAAACAGAGUUGUUAGCACGAUGAUAUUCAUAUGAGUACUUUGAUCCUUUUAAGGAAAUUGGUCCAUAUGAAGAAUUUGAUCUGGGGUUCCUAUUCUUCACAGGUGGUGUCCUAAGGACAUUCACCUGAAGACUUUCAAGGCACCUUUUGGGAACCCAUAUUUUCUUCAUAGGGGAACCGCUCCUGUAGUUAGUGCCAACAUAUCUAGCAAAUACUUCACCAUUCUGGUUUUUGAGCAGUUUGUAAUUGGAGUCAAAUGACUCAUCAUCAGAAUGAGGAGAUUCACAUGCAAAGCCAGAUAAGUUAGAUGGAUCAACUGGAGGUCCCUUUGCAGCAACCCAUGAGGUUUUGGGGUACUGCUCAGGCUUACAAUAUGUACCAUCAACAUUGAGUUUCCUCUCAAAGGCAAUACCCUCUUUCCUAGGGUUCCUGUUGAGGAUCUGCCUUUUAAGCACAUCACAAAGAGUCUGAUGCCCUUUGAGGCUUUUGUACAUGUCUGUCAUGUACAAUUCCUUCAGCCCUGCAUCGUCAGUGAUACUAGCAGUGUCCUCAAAUGAGGAAUUAGUGAUAGCAGAGGCAUGUGAAGAAUUUGAAACAUUAGCAGCAUUUGAACAUUCAGGUGAAGAAUUAGCAGAUUCACGUUCAAUGCACUUCAAGCAUGGAGGAACAAAUUCUUCCUAAGAAGCGCUGAUUUGUUGAGCAAGUAAUGAAUCACGCUCCUUCUGAAGAUCUUCAUAACUCACUCUUAGCUUUUCAAGAUCUUGCUUUCUUUGAAGAAAUUCAUAAGAAAGCUUCUCAUGAUCAGAUAAGAGAGUGUUAUGAUGAUCUUGAAGGGUGUCAUACUUAGUAUGAAGUCUCUGAAGACUUUCAGCCAAAGCUUUUGACUGAUCCAUUUCUUCACCCAACAUAUCAUCGCUCUUAUUUAGCAUGUAUUGAACCUUUUCCAAAGAUCGUUGUUGUUUAGUGGCAAGGGAAGCAAGUUUGACAUAGCUGGGUCCAAAUUCAUCACCAGAUUCAUCAUCACUAGACUCGGAUAGGUAGCAUUCAGUUACCUUAGCAUCUUUUGCCAUAAGGCAUGAUGCAGAAGAUGAUGAUUCUGGCUCGAAUGUCAUCGCUUUGAGAGAUUCCUUGAAGUCCUCAAACCAAGGAUCAUGACAGGUUCGAUGACCUUCAUAGACCUCAGAGAGACGGUCCCAGAUAAGCUUCGCAUGAUCGAGAUGCAUGAUAUUCCUGAACUGAUUUUGAGACAGACAGGAGUAGAUGACGUCCUUCGCUGUGAGGUUGAGAAGAGUGUACUUGUGAAUGUCAUCUGCUUCCACCAUCUUGCACAGAUCGGUCAGACCAAUCUCAGUGAUAGUCCACAGCUCGUUGUUCAUCGUCAUGAGACGCUUCUUCAUCAUGGCCUUCCACUUGGGAUACUCAUGACCGUCAAAGAUGGGGCAUGUCACUUUCUUCAUACCCGCAGUCGACAUAAAUAAAACUCCAGGUGGUUAAACCAAAAUCACACAGAACAAGGGAGUACCUUGCUCUUAUACCAAUUGAAAGUGCGUUAUAUCGACUAGAGGGGGGCGAAUAGGCGAUUUUUAUGAAUUCUUCACUGAGGAAUUUGCAGGUGAGGAAAUUCCUUAGCGAAGAACUACUAGCAGCGGAAUAAGUACUCAAAAGUAAACAUAAUAGAGCACAAGCAUAGUCAUCAUGAUGAAAUGAAGACAAGCACAGAGAACAGUAAGCGUAAGCACAAGAUAACACAAGAUGAAGACAAAUAGACUGAAGAAAUUGAACUGAGGAAUUUGAGAAAGUCUUUAGUCAAAGUCUUCAAACACAGAUAUGAACAAGCACUCAACACAGUUAUGAGGAAAUGAAAGAGUUGAGGAAAUAGAACCAGUUAGCUCGGUGAAGACAAUGAUUUGGUAGACCAGUUACAACUGUUGUGACAGUUGUAUGUCUGGAUAGGGUGGCUAGGUAUUUAAACCUGAGGAACACAGUCCCGGACACCCAGUCCUGAACACACAGCUCAGGACACUUAGUCCUCACCAUAUUCCCCUUGAGCUAAGGUCACACAGACCUCGACCAAUCACUCGUGGUAAGUAUUCAGGUGACUUCUGAACCUUCACAAACUUGGUCACUCGGCAAUCCACAAUUCCCCUUGGAUGCUCUAGACCUCGAUGCCUAACCGUCUGGAAGAAGCACAGUCUUCAAAAGUAACAAGCGUCGGAUCCACGCAGGAUCAAUCUCUUCAGUGAUGCUCAAUCACUUGGGGUUGUAGGUGUUUGGGUUUGGGUUUUGGUUUUCCUCACUUGAUGAUUUUCACUCAAAGUCCUCGGAGGAUGGGAUGCUCUCAAAUGACAAGUGACAGUUUCCCUCGGAGCAGCCAACCAGCUAGUGGUUGUAGGGGGUGGCUAUUUAUAGCCUAGGGAGCAGCCCGACAUGAUAAGACAUAAAUGCCCUUCAAUGAUAUGACCGUUAGGUGGGUAGAUAUUUUUGGGACAGCUGGCGCAUAGCACAGCAACGGUCGAAAAUUUGAGUAUCAAAUUCCUCAGGGCUAUCAUGUUCCUCACUGUGUAGGUAAUCCGCACUGGCGAAUUCCUAACUCCUCAGUCAGAACAAAUUCCUCAGAGACCAGAAGAACUUCGUCUCUGUCACUUAAGAAUAUGACUGAACUGUAUGAGAUUUCCAAUGGCUUCACUCGAAGGGAUUGGUAGGUGUAGGAUUUGAGUUGAGCAUCACAUGGAAUUUUUUCCUUAGUAUUUCCUCGACCCCCUUUAACAGUACAGUGUUUCCUAAGACUCAAGAAAGAGAAAAUGAAACUACAAAAACAAAAGUCUUCAUGCUUCAUGUUCCUCAAAUGAAUACCAAGUCUUCAGGAUUGCACCAAUUUCUUCACUUUCAAAGUCUUCAGAAAUCCAAAGUCUUCAGUCGAAGAACUUCAUUUUUGGGGGUCAACUUUCUCUGUAAAUAUCAAACUCAUCUAGACUUAUAGACCUGUGUACACUUAAAAACACAUUAGUCCCUUAACCUAUAAGUCUUCAAUACACCAAAAUCACUAAGGGGCACUAGAUGCACUUACAACCGCACAUCUACAGUUUCAACAACCUUGUGGUGAUAGGUGUUGAAGACUCUGAAGGUGUGCGAGUCCUUACCAUAACCAAGCAUAAAACCUUCAUGUGCUUUUGGUGCAAAUUUAGAACUGUGAUGAGGAUCUCUAAUCCAGCAUUUAGCAUCGAAGACUUUGAAAUAACUCACAUUGGGUUUCUUGUCAGUGAGGAGUUAAUAUGCAGUCUUCUUGAAGAAUUUGUGAAGAUAUACUCUGUUGACGAUGUGGCACGUAGUAUCAAUUGCCUCAGGCCAAAAGCCGAGGAGGUGUCUUGUACUCAUCAAGCAUAGUGCGGGCCAUCUCAACAAGAGUCUUGUUCUUGCGCUCCACGACGCCAUUCUGCUAAGGAGUAUAUGGAGCGGAUAACUCAUGAGUAAUACCAAGUUCAUCAAGAUAGUCAUCAAGACCAAUGUUCUUGAACUCAGUUCCAUUGUCACUUCUAAUGUGCUUGAUCUUCACACCAAAGUUGGUUGAAGCCCUCGAGGAAAAUUGUUUGAAGACUUCAUGCACUUCAGUUUUGUAAGUGAUGAUAUGCACCCAUGUAUAACGAGAAUAAUCAUCAACAAUGACAAAGCCAUAUAAAGAUGCAUCAUUAGUAAAUGUGCAUAGUGAGUAGGGCCAAAGAGAUCCAUGUGAAGCAAUUCAAAUGGAUGAGUGGUAGUCAUGAUGGUCUUUGAGGGAUGCUUGGCCUUGGUUAUCUUUCCAUCUUCACAAGCUCCACACAAAUGGUCCUUGAGGAACUUGACACCCUCGAUGCCAAUGACAUGCUUUUUCUUCGCAAGCGUGUGCAAGUUCCUCAUCCCAGCAUGACCAAAUCAUCGAUGCCAUAGCCAGCCUUCUGAAGCUUUUUCAAGUAGACAUGUAGCAGGUUGUGGUCCUAUAGAGAAAUCAACAAUAUACAAAUCUCCUCUCCUAAAGCCUACGAAGACUUUGGAAUUGUCAGCUUCCAUGAUCACAACACAACGAUACUUGCCAAAGACAACAACCAUAUCAAGAUCACAAAGCAUUGAGACAGACAUGAGGUUGAACCCUAAGGACUCGACAAGCAUGCUUGUCCAUGUGUUGAUCCUUUGAGAUUGCAACCUUACCUAGACCCAAUACCUUGCUUUUGCCUUUGUUAGUGUAGGUGAUAUGCUUCAGAUGCGAUGGAGAUAAGGGAGCAUCCAUCAAUAGAUUCUUGUCACCAGUCAUGUGAUUAGUACAUCCACUAUCGAGGACCCACUCAGUGGCUUUGGGUUGAUCAUCCUACAGAUGAAUUAGUGUAGCUUCCGAACUCAUAUACUAUUGGAAAUAUGCCCUAGAGGCAAUAAUAAAAUGGUUAUUAUUGUAUUUCCUUGUUCAUGAUAAUUGUCUAUUAUUCAUGCUAUAAUUGUAUUAACUGGAAACCGUAAUCCAUGUGUGAAUACAUAGACCACAACAUGUCCCUAGUAAGCCUCUAGUUGACUAGCUCGUUGAUCAAUAGAUGGUCAUGGUUUCCUGACCAUGGACAUUGGAUGUCAUUAAUAACGGGAUCACAUCAUUAGGAGAAUGAUGUGAUGGACAAGACCCAAUCUUAAGCAUAGCACAAGAUCGUGUAGUUCGUUUGCUAAAGCUUUUGUAAUGUCAAGUAUCAUUUCCUUAGACCACGAGAUUGUGCAACUCCUGGAUACCGUAGGAAUGCUUUGGGUGCACCAAACGUCACAACGUAACUGGGUGGCUAUAAAGGUGCAUUACAGGUAUCUCCGAAAGUGUCUGUUGGGUUGGCACGAAUCGAGACUGGGAUUUGUCACUUCGUAUGACGGAGAGGUAUCUCUGGGCUCACUCGGUAAGACAUCAUCGUAAUGAGCUCAAUGUGACUAAGGGUUGGUCACGGGAUGAUGUGUUACAGAACGAGUAAAGUGACCUGCCGUUAACGAGAUUGAACGAGGUAUUGGGAUACCGAUGAUCGAAUCUCGGGCAAGUAACGUACCGAUUGACAAAGGGAAUUGUAUACGGGAUUGCUUGAAUCCUCGACAUCAUGGUUGAGAUCAUCGUGGAACAUGUGGGAGCCAACAUGGGUAUCCAGAUCCCAUUGUUGGUUAUUGGCCGGAGAGUUGUCUCGGUCAUGUCUGCAUGGUUCCCGAAACCGUAGGGUCUACACACUUAAGGUUCAAUGACGCUAGGGUUAAUAGGAAGACUUGUAUGUGAUUACCGAAUGUUGUUCGGAGUCCCGGAUGAGAUCCCGGACGUCACGGGGAGUUCCGGAAUGGUCCGGAGGUGAAGAUUUAUAUAUAGGAAGUUGUCAUACGGUCACCGGAAAGGUUCGGGGGCAUAUCAGUAUUGUACCGGGGCCACCGGGAGGGGCCACCUCUCCCGGAGGGCCUCAUGGGUUUUAGAGGAAAGGGAACCAGCCCCAAGUGGGCUGGGCGCAUCCCCCCUUGGGCCCAUGCGCCUAGGGUUUGGGGGGAAACCCUAGAGGGGGCGCCCCCCUUGCUUGGGGGGUAAGCCACCCCCUUGGCCGCCCCCUCUAGAUCUCAUCUAGAGGGGCCGGCCCCCUUCCUCCUUCCCCUAUAAAUAGAGGGGCAAGGGGAGGGCUGCACACAACAUCAAAGGCGCAGCCCCUCCCCUCCCCCUCCCCUCCUCCGUUAAGAGCUUAGCGAAGCUCUACCGGAGUACUGCCGCUCCACCACCACCACGCCGUCGUGCUGCUGUUGCAGCUCUCUUCCUCAACCUCUCCCUCCUCCUUGCUGGAUCAAGGCGUGGGAGACAUCCCCGCUCUGUACGUGUGUUGAACGCGGAGGUGCUGUCCGUUUGGCGCUAGGAUCAUCGGUGAUUUGGAUCACGACAAGUACGACUCCAUCAACCCCGUUCUCUUGAACGCUUCCGCUUAGCAAUCUUCAAGGGUAUGAAGAUGCACUCCCUCUCUCUUGUUCCUAGUAUCUCCUAGAUUUAUCUUGGUGACACGUAGGAAAAUUUUGAAUUAUUGCUACUAUCCCCAAUAGUGGCAUCAUGGGCCAGGUCUAUGCGUAGAUUCUAUGCACGAGUAGAACACAAAGAAGUUGUGGAUGAUGAUUUGUUCAAUUUGCUUACCGUUACUAGUCUUAUCUUGAUCCGGUGGCAUUGUGGGAUGAAGCGGCCCAGACCGACCUGACACGUACGCUUACGUGAGACUGGUUCCACUGACUGACAUGCACUUGAUGCAUAAGGUGGCUGGCGGGUGUCUGUUUCUCCCACUUUAGUCGGAUCAAAUUCGAUGAAAAGGGUCCUUAUGAAGGGUAAAUAGCAAUUGGCAUAUCACCGUUGUGGUUUUGCGUAGGUAAGAAACGUUCUUGCUAGAAACCCAUAGCAGCCACGUAAAACAUGCAACAACAAUUAGAGGACGUCUAACUUGUUUUUGCAGGGUUUGCUAUGUGAUGUGAUAUGGCCAAAAGGAUGUGAUGAAUGAUAUAUGUGAUGUAUGAGAUUGAUCAUGUUCUUGUAAUAGGAAUCACGACUUGCAUGUCGAUGAGUAUGACAACCGGCAGGAUCCAUAUGAGUUGUCUUAAUUUAUUUAUGACCUGCGUGUCAAUGAAAACGCCAUGUAAUUACUUUACUUUAUUGCUAACCGUUAGCCAUAGUAGUAGAAGUAAUAGUUGGCGAGGCAACUUCAUGAAGACACGAUGAUGGAGAUCAUGAUGAUGGAGAUCAUGGUGUCAUGCCGAUGACGAUGGUGUUCAUGCCACGCCUCGAAGAUGGAGAUCAAAGGCGCAAGAUGAUAUUGGCCAUAUCAUGUCACUUUAUGAUUUGCAUGUGAUGUUUGUCAUGUUUUUACAUCUUAUUUGCUUAGAACGAUGGUAGCAUAAAUAAGAUGAUCACUUAUUAAAAUAUCAAGAAUUGUGUCCCCCUAACUGUGCACCAUUUCUAAGGUCCGUUGUUUUGAAGCACUACGUGAUGAUCGGGUGUGAUAGGUUCUAACGUUCGCAUACAACGGGUGUAAGCCAGAUUUACACAUGCAAUACACUUAGGUUAACUUGACGAGCCUAGCAUGUACAGACAUGGCCUUGGAACACGGAAGACCGAAAGGUCGAACAUGAGUCGUAUAGUGGAUACGAUCAACAUGAAGAUGUUCACCGAUGAUGACUAGUCUGUCUCACGUGAUGAUCGGACACGGCCUAGUUGACUCGGAUCAUGUAUCACUUAGAUGACUAGAGGGAUGUCUAUCUAAGUGGGAGUUCAUUGAAUAAUUUGAUUAGAUGAACUUAAUUAUCAUGAACAUAGUCAAAAGGUCUUUGCAUAUUAUGUCGUAGCUCACGCUUUGGUUCUACUGUUUUAGAUAUGUUCCUAGAGAAAAUUUAGUUGAGAGUUGACAAUAGCAAUUAUGCAGACUGGGUCCGUGAACUGAGGAUUGUCCUCAUUGCUGCACAGAAGGGUUAUGUCCUUAAUGCAUCGCUCAGUGUGUUGAACCUCGAGCAUCGUCUGUAGAUGUUGGGAAACAUCUGACAUACACGUUUUGAUGACUACGUGAUAGUUUAGUGCAUAAUACUAACGGUUUAGAAUUGUGGCACCAAAGACGGUUUUGAAACAUCGCAGAACAUAUGAGAUGUUCCAAAGACUGAAAUUGGAAUUUCAGACUAGUGCCCACGUCAAGAGGUAUGAGACCUCUGACAAGUUUCUUAAGCCUGCAAACUAAGGGAGAAAAGCUCAAUCAUUGAGCAUGUGCUUAGAUUGUCUGAGUACUACAAUCGCUUGAAUCGAGUGGGAGUUAAUCUUGCAGAUGAGAUAGUGAUGGUUCUCCAUAGUCACUGCCACCAAGCUAUUGUAGCUUCGUGAUGAACUAUAACAUAUCAGGGAUAGACAUGAUGAUCCUUGAGCAACUCGUGAUGUUUGACACCUCGAAAGUAGAAAUCAAGUAGGAGCAUUAAUUGUUGAUGGUUGAACCACUAGUUUCAAGAAGGGCAAGGGAAAGAAGGGAUUCUUCAUGAAACGGCAAAUCAGUUGUUGCUCUAGUGAAGAAACCCAAGGUUGAACCCAAACCCGAGACUAAGUGCUUCUAUAAUGAGGGGAACGGUCACUGAAUCAGAACUACCCUAGAUACUCGGUAGAUGACAAGGCUGGCAAGGUCGAUAGAAGUAUAUUGGAUAUACAUUAUAAUGUGUACUUUACUAGUACUCCUAGUAGCACCAGGGUAUUAAAAUACCAGUUCAGUUGCUAAGUGUUAGUAACUCGAAAUAAAAGGCUACAGAAUAAACAGAGAUUAGCUGAAGGUGAGAUGACGAUAUGUGUUGGAAGUGUUUCCAUGGUUGAUGUGAUCAAGCAUCACAUGCUCCCUCUACCAUCGAUAUUGGUGUUAAACCUAAAUAAUUGUUAUUUGGUGUUUGCAUAGACAUGAUUGGAUUAUGUUUGUCACAAUACAGUUAUUUGUUUAAGGAGAAUAAUGGUUACUUUGUUUAUUUGAAUAAUACCAUCAAUGGUAUUGCACCUAAAAUGAAUGGUUUGUUGAAUCUCGAUCGUAGUGAUACACAUGUUCAUGCCAAAAGAUAUAAGAUAGUAAUGAUAGUACCAAAUACUUGUGGCACUUCCAUUUGAGACAUGUUGGUAUAAAAUGCAUGAAGAAGCUCCACAUUGAUGGAUCUUUGGACUCACUCGUUUUUGAAAAGAUUGAGACAUGCGAACCAUGUCUAUUGGUAGAUAUGCAUGAAGAAACUCCAUACAGAUGGAUCAUUUGGACUCACUUGAUUUUGAAUCACUUGAGACAUGCAAAUCAUACCACAUGGGCAAGAUGACUGAAAGGCCUCGUUUUCAGUAAGAUGGAACAAGAAAGCAACUUGUUGGAAGUAAUACAUUUUGAUGUGUGCAGUCCGAUGAGUGCUGAGGCACGCAGUGGAUAUCGUUAUAUUCUUACUUCACAGAUGAUUUGAGUAGAUGCUGGGUAUAUUUACUUGAUGAAACACAAGUCUUAAUUAUUGAAAGGUUCAAGUAAUUUCAGAGUGAAGUUGAAGAUCAUCGUGACAAGAUGAUAAAAUGUCUAUGAUAUGAUCAUAGAGAUGAAUAUUUGAGUUACGAGUUUGGCACACAAUUAAGACAUUGUGGAAAUUGUUUCACAACUAAUACCGCCUGGAACACCAUAGUGUGAUGGUGUGUCCGAACAUCAUAACUGCACCCUAUUGGAUAUGGUGCAUACCAUGAUGUCUCUUAUCGAAUUACCACUAUCGUUUAUGGGUUAGGAAUUAGAGAUAACCGCAUUCACUUUAAAUAGGGCACCACACAAUUCCGUUGAGGCGACACCAUAUGAACUAUGGUUUAGAGAAACCUAAGCUGUCGUUUCUUAAAAGUUUGGGGCUGCAACGCUUAUGUGAAAAAGUUUUAGGCUGAUAAGCUCAAACCCAAAGCGGAUAAAUGCAUCUUCAUAGAAUACCCAAAAAUAGUUGGUAUACCUCCUAUUUCAGAUCCGGAAGCAAAAGUGAUUGUUUCUAGAAACGGGUCCUUUCUUGAGGAAAAGUUUCUCUCGGAAGAAUUGAGUGGGAGGAUGGUGGAGACUUGAUGAGGUUGUUGAACUGUCACUUCAACUAGUAUGUAGCAGGGCACAGGAAGUUGUUCCUGUGGCACCUACACCAAUUGAAGUGGAAGCUUAUGAUAGUGAUCAUGAAACUUCGGAUCAAGUCACUACCAAACCUCAUAGGUCGACAAGGAUGUGUACUACUUUAGAGUGGUACUUAAUCCUGUCUUGGAAGUCAUGUUGCUAGACAACAAUGAACCUACGAGCUAUGUAGAAGCGAUGGUGGGCCCAGAUUCCGACGUAUGGCUCGAGGCCAUAAAAUCCGAGAGAGGAUCCAUGUAUAAAAACAAAGUAUAGACUUUGGAAGAAUUACUUAAUGGUCGUAAGGCUGUUGGGUGCAGAUGGAUUUUAAAAGGAAGAUGGACAAUGAUGGUAAGUGUCACCAUUAAGAAAUCUCGACUUGUCGUUAAGAUGUUUUCCGACAAGUUCAAGGAGUUGACUAUGAUGGGACUUUCUCACUUGUAGCGAUGCUAAGAGUCUGUUGGAAUUAUGAUAGCAGUUACUGCAUUAUUUAUGAAAUCUUGCAGAUAUGAUGUCAAAACAUUGUUUCCACGACGUUUUUCUUGAGGAAAGGUUGUAUGUGAUACAACCAGAAGGUUUUGUCAAUCCUGAAAGAUGCUAACAAGUAUGCAAAGCUCCAACAAUCCUUCUAAGGACUGGAGUAAGCAUCUCAGAAUUGGAAUGUAUGUUUUGAUGAGGUGAUCAAAGAUUUUGGGUUUAUACAAAGUUUAUGAGAAACUUGUAUUUCCAAAGAAGUGAGUGGGAGCACUAUAGAAUUUUUGAUGAUUAUAUGUUGUUAACAUAUUGUUGAUCAGAAAUGAUGUAGAAUUUCUGGAAAGCAUGCAGGGUUAUUUGAAAAGUGUUUUUCAAUUGAAAACCUAGAUUAAGCUACUUGAACAUUGAGCAUCAAUAUCUAUAAGGAUAGAUCAAAAAACGCUUGAUAGUACUUUCAAAUGAAUACAUACCGUGACAAGAUUUUGAAGGAGUUGAAAAUAGAUCAGCAAAGAAGGAGUUCUUGGCUGUGUUACAAGGUGUGAGUAUUGAGUAAGACUCAAGACCUGACCACGGCAGAAGAGAGAGAAAGGACGAAGGUUGUCCCCUAUGCUUUAGACGUAGGCUCUACAAUAUGCUAUGCUGUGUACUGCACCUGAAGUGUGCCUUGCCAUGAGUCAGUCAAGGGGUACAAGAGUGAUCCGGGAAUGGAUCACAUGACAGUGGUCGAACUUAUCCUUAGUAACUAGUGGACUAAGGAAUUUUCUCGAUUAUGGAGGUGGUAAAAGAGUUCGUCGUAAAGGGUUGCGUCGAUGCAAACUUUGACACUAAUCUGGAUCACUCUGUGUAGUAAACCGGAUUCAUAUAGUAGAUCAGUUAUUUGGAAUAUCUCCAAGUAGCGCGUGGUAGCUGCAUCUACAAGAUGACAUAGAGAUUUGUAAAGUACACACGGAUCUGAAAGGUUCAGACCCGUUGACUAAUAACCUCUCUCACAAGCGAGAUAUGAACAAACCCCAUGGGUGUUGGAUUCAUUACAAUCACAUAGUGAUGUGAACUAGAUUAUUGACUCUAGUGCAAGUGGGAGACUGUUGGAAAUAUGCCCUAGAGGCAAUAAUAAAAUGGUUAUUAUUAUAUUUCCUUGUUCAUGAUAAUUGUCUAUUGUUCAUGCUAUAAUUGUAUUAACUGGAAACCGUAAUCCAUGUGUGAAUACAUAGAACACAACAUGUCCCUAGUAAGCCUCUAGUUGACUAGCUCGUUGAUCAAUAGAUGGUCAUGGUUUCCUUACCAUGGACAUUGGAUGUCAUUGAUAACGAGAUCACAUCAUUAGGAGAAUGAUGUGAUGGACAAGACCCAAUCUUAAGCGUAGCACAAGAUCGUGUAGUUCGUUUGCUAAAGCUUUUCUAAUGUCAAGUAUCAUUUCCUUAGACCAUGAGAUUAUGCAACUCCUGGAUACCAUAGGAAUGCUUUGGGUGCACCAAACAUCACAACAUAACUGGGUGGCUAUAAAGGUGCAUUACAAGUAUCUUCGAAAGUGUCUGUUGGGUUGGCACGAAUCGAGACUGGGAUUUGUCACUCCGUAUGACGGAGAGGUAUCUCUGGGCCCACUCGGUAAGACAUCAUCGUAAUGAGCUCAAUGUGACUAAGGGUUGGUCACGGGAUCAUGUGUUACGAAACGAGUAAAGUGACCUGCCGGUAACGAGAUUGAACGGGGUACUGGGAUACCGAUGAUCGAAUCUCGGGCAAGUAAUGUACCGAUUGACAAAGGGAAUUGUAUACGGGAUUGCUUGAAUCCUCGACAUCGUGGUUCAUCCGAUGAGAUCAUUGUGGAACAUGUGGGUGCCAACAUGGGUAUCCAGAUCCCGCUGUUGGUUAUUGGCCGGAGAGUUGUCUCGGUCAUGUCUGCAUGGUUCCCGAACCCGUAGGGUCUACACACUUAAGGUUCGAUGAUGCUAGGGUUAUUAGGAAGACUUGUAUGUGAUUAACGAAUGUUGUUCGGAGUCCCGGAUGAGAUCCCGGACAUCACAAGGAGUUCCGGAAUGGUCCAGAGGUGAAGAUUUAUAUAUAGGAAGUUGUCAUACGGUCACCGGAAAGGUUCGGGGGCAUAUCAGUAUUGUACCGGGGCCACCGGAGGGGUUCCGGGGGUCCACCGGGAGGGGACACCUCUCCCGGAGGGUCUCAUGGGCCGUAGAGGAAAGGGAACCAUCCCCAAGUAGGCUGGGCGUAUCCCCCCUUGGGCCCAUGCACCUAGGGUUUGGGGGGAAACCCUAGAGGGGGCGUCCCCCUUGCUUGGGGGGCAAGCCACCCCCUUGGCCGCCGCCCCCUCUAGAUCUCAUCUAGAGGGGGCCGGCCCCCUUCCUCCUUCCCCUAUAAAUAGAGGGACAAGGGGAGGGCUGCACACAACAUCAAAGGCGCAGCCCCUCCCCUCUCCAACACCUCUCCUCCUCCGUUAAGAGCUUGGCGAAGCCCUGCCGGAGUACUGCCGCUCCACCACCAGCACGCCGUCGUGCUGCUGUUGGAGCUCUCUUCCUCAACCUCUCCCUCCUUGUUGCUGGAUCAAGGCGCGGGAGACGUCUCCGUUCCGUACGUGUGUUGAACGCGGAGGUGCUGUCCGUUCGGCGCUAGGAUCAUCGGUGAUUUGGAUCAUGAUGAGUACGACUGCAUCAACCCCGUUCUCUUGAACGCUUCCGCUUAGCGAUCUUCAAGGGUAUGAAGAUGCACUCCCUCUCUCUUGUUGCUAGUAUCUCCUAGAUUGAUCUUGGUCACACGUAGGAAAAUUUUGAAUUAUUGUUAUGAUCCCCAACAUAUACUUCAUUAGUGAAGAAUAUGACAUCAUAUUCAUGAGAUCAAUUUCAUCAAGCAAUAGAACAGAUAUAGCAAUGUGAGGACGUGAGAAAUGAAAAUUCAUUUCUUCAUGAUUAGCUUGUGUCCUUUCAAGCAUAUUCAGGUCUCCAGCAAAUUCUUCAGAUAUUUAGGUUCGUCUGGAGACCUGACCCUGCAUAAGAGAUUUGUUCUUUUUCUUCAGCACCCACAUCUGAAGGGGUGGCAAAGAGUUCAUCAUUCCGCGAGCUCCAUAAGAGAAAGGUGGCAUAGAUGCCAAUCCACUUCAUUUCGCAUAAGAGGGGUUAGGGUAAGCAUAUGAGUAAGCAGAGAAAUUCUUCGAGGAUUUAUGAACAUAAUGAUUUGAAGAAUAGUGCACAUAUCCAUAAUCCUUAGCCUUUCCCUACGAAAAGAGGUGUUAGCACGAUGAUGUUCAUGUGAGGACUUUGAUCCAUGUGAGGAAUGUGUACCAUAUGAGGAGUUGGAUCCAUAUGAAGACUUUGGUCCAUAUGAAGAAUUUGAUCUGGGGUUCCUAUUCUUCAUAGGUGGUGUCAUGAUGACAUUCACCUAAAGACUUUCAAGGCACCUUUUGGGAACCCAGAUUUUCUUCCGAGGAGGACCGUUCCUGCAGUUAGUGCCAACAUAUCUAGCAAAUACUUCACCAUUCUGAUUUUUGAACAGUUUGUAAUUGGAGUCAAAUGACUCAUCAAAAGAAUAUGAAGAUUCACAUGUAAAGCCAGAUAAAGUAGAUGGAUCCACUGAAGGUCCCUUUGUAGAAACCCAUGAGGUUUUGGGAUACUGCUCAGGCUUCUAGUAGGUCCCAUCAGCAUUGAGUUUGCUCUCAAAGGCAAUACCCUCUUUCCUAGGGUUCCUAUUGAGGAUCUGUGUAACACCCCGGAUGUAACUUUCCCUAUUUGUACUCCAACUAUUGUCGUUUCCGGCGUUAAGUUAUAUAUAUUUCCUCGGGCUCGGGUUUUUGUCUCCGUGUGUUGUUAUCGUUGUCAUGCAUCUCAUAUCAUGUCAUCAUGUGCAUUGCAUUUGCAUACGUGUUCGUUUCAUGCAUUCGAGCAUUUUCCCCGUUGUCUGUUUUGCAUUCCGGCGCUCCGUUCUCCUCCGGUGGCCAUUUCUAGCUUUCUUUUGUGUGUGGGGAUUAAACAUUUCCGGAUUGGACCGAGACUUGCCAAGCGGCCUUGGUUUACUACCGGUAGACCGCCUGUCAAGUUUCGUACCAUUUGGCCUUCGUUUGAUACUCCAACGGUUAACCGAGAGACCGAAAAGGCCUCGUGUGUGUUGCAGCCCAACACCCCUCCAUUUUGGCCCAAAACCCACCAAACUCUGCUCCAUGUCCAAGAGCGUUCGAUCACGAUCGCGUGGCCGAAAACCGCACCUCAUUUGGACUCUCCUAGCUCCCUCUAUGCCUAUAUAUACACCCCCCAUUCCAAAUUNNNNNNNNNNNNNNNNNNNNNNNNNNNNNNNNNNNNNNNNNNNNNNNNNNNNNNNNNNNNNNNNNNNNNNNNNNNNNNNNNNNNNNNNNNNNNNNNNNNNNNNNNNNNNNNNNNNNNNNNNNNNNNNNNNNNNNNNNNNNNNNNNNNNNNNNNNNNNNNNNNNNNNNNNNNNNNNNNNNNNNNNNNNNNNNNNNNNNNNNNNNNNNNNNNNNNNNNNNNNNNNNNNNNNNNNNNNNNNNNNNNNNNNNNNNNNNNNNNNNNNNNNNNNNNNNNNNNNNNNNNNNNNNNNNNNNNNNNNNNNNNNNNNNNNNNNNNNNNNNNNNNNNNNNNNNNNNNNNNNNNNNNNNNNNNNNNNNNNNNNNNNNNNNNNNNNNNNNNNNNNNNNNNNNNNNNNNNNNNNNNNNNNNNNNNNNNNNNNNNNNNNNNNNNNNNNNNNNNNNNNNNNNNNNNNNNNNNNNNNNNNNNNNNNNNNNNNNNNNNNNNNNNNNNNNNNNNNNNNNNNNNNNNNNNNNNNNNNNNNNNNNNNNNNNNNNNNNNNNNNNNNNNNNNNNNNNNNNNNNNNNNNNNNNNNNNNNNNNNNNNNNNNNNNNNNNNNNNNNNNNNNNNNNNNNNNNNNGAUCCGGCGUCCCCAACCCCGGCCGCCGCCAUCCUCGACUUCCCCGGCGAGCCGCACCGCCGUCCUCGGGUUCCGUGCCGUGAACAGUAAACCCUAGAUCCAGAUCUGGGGUAGUUUUUUUCACAGUCCCGAAUAUUUUUUUAGUUCAUAUGCUCAUGUUCGCGGCCCCGUAACUUUGCAUCCGUAGCUCCGAUUUGGGCAUAUAGCAUAUCAAAAUGUUCAUCUCAGAGAGUACAUCAUUUCAUUCCAUUGAAUCAUUUUCAUUAGAGUUCAUCUUGAUGCCCGAAAUGCUGUUAGAAGAGGGCAACUUGAGUUAAUUGUCAGAUCUGUUACUCCGUUUAGCACUUUUGUCAUUUUUGCCAUGAUUAAUGUGUGCAUGCUAUGCCCGUAAGUUCUUCAUAUGUUUUGUUAAGGGUUUGGCCAUCUUUCCAGGGGUGCAACCCAUGUACUUUUAGGAUGUGUGUGGUGACUUGUGCAAGCUUGCAAAGUGGUGCACUUGCUAAUUCUGUUUUCAGGGACUUAGUGAUUUCACUAAGUCCUGGGAUUGUUUAUCUCACGAUGCCAUAUGUUCAUGUUGUUUCCUAGUGACCCGUACCUCUUUUGAGGAUGAUCAGUAAGGGAGUUUUGUUAAUCUUGUAGUGCUCUAUCCAUCCAUGUCUUUGUUUGCAAUUAUGGAGCACCCUAGCUUGAGUCAAUCGAGCUCUACUUUUGCUUUGUUGUGAAUCUGGGCAGAUCGUCAACUUGUUUGCGAUUUUGCCGAUGUUAUUGUAGUUGAUCCGUGCAUGCUAUGCCAUUGUUCUUGCCAGGUCUAGCUUGUAUUUUGUGCCUUCUUAAGGGAUGUAUGCUUGUCUUGCCAUGACUUGCACCGUGGUGAGUGCAUCGAGCUCGUAAACAUGCCUUCGUGAGUUAUGUUUCAGCAUGUCCCAGUUUUCACUAAGUCUGAAAACUGAUUAUGUUUUUGCUAUGUUCGUGUGGUUGUUAGUAUAUUUUGUGAUCCCUUCCAGCAAUGCCCAACAUUGGUCUUACAAUUUGCCACCUAGCCUUUUCUUUCCCUUGGGUUCUGCAGACUCAAGGGUCAUCUUAUUNNNNNNNNNNNNNNNNNNNNNNNNNNNNNNNNNNNNNNNNNNNNNNNNNNNNNNNNNNNNNNNNNNNNNNNNNNNNNNNNNNNNNNNNNNNNNNNNNNNNNNNNNNNNNNNNNNNNNNNNNNNNNNNNNNNNNNNNNNNNNNNNNNNNNNNNNNNNNNNNNNNNNNNNNNNNNNNNNNNNNNNNNNNNNNNNNNNNNNNNNNCUCGAGGGCUGGUUUUACUUGUACGGAUUGCUUAUCUGAGUGUGCCCUGAGAAAGAGAUAUGUGCAGCUCCUAUCGGGAUUUGUCGGCACAUUCGGGCGGUGUUGCUGGUCUUAUUUUAACCUGUUGAAGUGUCUUGAGUUACCGAGAUACCGAGUUUGAUCAGAACGUCUUGGGAGGAGGUCUAUUCCUUCGUUGACCGUGAGAGCUUGUCAUGGGCUAAGUUGGGACUCCCCUGCAGGGAUUGAACUUUCGAAAGCCGUGCCCGCGGUUAUGGGCAGAUGUGAAUUUGUUAAUGUCCGGUUGUAGAUAACUUGAACCUUAAUUAAUUAAAAACGAAUCAACCGUGUGUGUUACCGUGAUGGCCUCUUCUCGGCGGAGUCCGGGAAGUGGACACGGUGUUGGAGUAAUGUUUGCGCAGGUUGCUCUCUAGUUUCUCGCUCGCGCUUUGCCUCCUCUUCUCGCUCUCUUUUGCGAAUAAGUUAGCCACCAUAUAUGCUAGUCGCUUGCCGCAGCUCCACUCAUAAUUACCUUGCCUUACCUAUAAGCUUAAAUAGUUUUGAUCGCGAGGGUGCGAGAUUGCUGAGUCCCUGUGGCUCACAGAUUACUAUUACACCAGAUGCAGGGCCUGAUGAUUCCGCUCCAGCAGACGCGUACGAGCUCAAGUGGGAGUUCGACGAAGACUCUCAGCGAUACUAUGUUUCCUUUCCCGAUGAUCAGUGGUGGUGCCCAGUUGGGGGUGAUUGGGACCGUGUCGCAUGUUGGGUUCUCUUUUAUUUUGGCGCCGUAGUUGGGCCAUGAGUGUUUGGAUGAUGUAAUGUUAUUUAUGUACCUGAUUGACGUGGCGAGUGUAAGCCAACUAUGUUAUCUCCCCUUUUAUUAUUAUAUUACAUGGGAUGUUUGUGAAGAUUGCCUAACUUGCGACAUAUGCCUUCAAUGCGAUUAUAUCUCUAAGUCGUGCCUCGACACGUGGGAGCUGUAGUCGCAUCGAGGGUGUUACAAGUUGGUAAUCAGAGCCAUCCCCGACCUUAGGAGCCCCAUUGCUUGAUCAUUUUUAGCGGCCGAGUUGUGUCUAGAAAAAUGUUUUGAGUCUUUUAGGAAUUAUAUAUCGGAGAGUUUAGGAAUUCUUUUUUACUUCCUAGUCUCCUCAUUGCUCUGGUAAGGCAUCGUGAUGUAGAGUUUUGACUCUUCUCUUCUCAAAUUUCACUAAUUUUUUUUAGGAUCACGCGGGUAUCUUGGAAUCGUUCUGAUGGUUUUAUGAUGAGAACAUUGUCUUGGUGCCUCCUGUCAGGGGUUUAGUGGAAGUGUCCCGGGGAGUUGAGCUCUGAGGUGUUGUCAUCAUAAUUUUAUCGUUACAGUUCUGGAAUACCUGAGUCUAGUACGCCAACAUCGAAAAUCUCUUUUAUGCAGUUCGUUGGUGAGAUAACCUCGACGCCACCCAGUACUGGGGCGGGAGUUCAGGAGUAUCGCCAUAACUUGUAUAACGGAUGCUUUUCGAAGGUUGAGGUAGAUGGUUUCCGAAGUUUUCUUGGUUAUGUUUUGAAGGAUGGAUACAGCUGGAUAUAGGAUUUGCUAGUUUGGGUGAGAUAUUAUGCUUCCCCUGUAUCCCCAACACCUGAUUGCAUAACCGGAAAGGUUCGGGAGUUUCAUAGGUGGGAAUUCUAGUAGCUCUAGUUCUUCUUCCACGGGUAUUGGUUUGAGAUUGGGAUUUCUUACCGAUUAUUCGUUCUUGAUCCGUACCUUGUUGAUUUAUUUCUCUACCUUAAUUCUACGUGGCUUCUCAAUUUAUGGAUAUGUGACCAUUUCAAGAGGAAUGCAUUCGUUCAUUUUGUUCGGAUGUGAAGACUAUAUGUUGCAAUUUUCAUUCCAUUGGAUUCAGCUUCAAUAUUUAUCUGUCAAUGUGCUAAUGGUGGUCAACCUCUUCAGGAUGGCUCCUCCAACGCGCACGACUCCGAAUCCUGAUCCGCCACCACCUCCACCUCCUCCAGAGGCAUGGCAAGCUGUGAUGGCUGCAACUAAUGCAAACACACAGCUGAUCAUGCAAAUUCUUCAAGAGCGCAAUCAAGGCAGUCAAGGGAGUCAAGGCAGCAAUCAGAGUCACUUUGCUACAC